rnacentral:lncRNA from 1 species
AGCACAUCCGUUUUCCUUACAGUAUGUAGUACGCAUUCUACCUUUUCCUACAAUGAAUCCACCAGCAGAAAUUCCUGUACACAUCUUAUCAAUUCGUCUCUCAUUCUAUUACAGGUGGCUCAAAGAGGUCAGGAGGCACCUUCAACACUUUUAUUGGAGAUCUCCUUGUCUAGAUCAUCAGGUUUGUCAGGUGUAUAUUUUCUAUUUUUAUGUUGUCACAUGGAACAAUUUUGCUAAAUUUUGUAAUACUUUAAAAAAAAUCUUUUUUACCCCAGCUUCCAAUAACACUUAUCUCCCUGUCCUUCCAGCUUGCAUAAUUGUCUCCCUCGGUAUCAUCUGGCCUUUACUGACAGCCUUCCCAAGGCUCUUCUGGCUCCCAUCUAAUCCAGUUUCAGAGCCAAUGCCAUGUUUUUGUCAUGUUAGCUUCCUACUUCCAGCUCCCAAAUUUCUGUCCCACUUAUUAUUACUAAAUAACGAUGACCCCAAGUUUACUGGUCUAGUUAUUGUACUGGCUUAAACCAACUGCUUUAUGAUUUUCACAAAUUUGUGGAACAGAGAUUCAAACAAAGCACAGUAAGGAUACAGAAAUGACUUUCUCUUGCUCAAUGAUGUCUAGGGUCUCUUCUGGGAAGACUAAAAAAUUGUUGGCUUUUAAUGAGUGAGCGCUAGAAUCCUCUGGAGGAGUAUUUAUUCACUUGUCCAGUAGUUGUUACUGACUGUUGUCUGAGUCCUCUGGGGGUGCUGUCAGGCAAACCAUCCAUGUUUGGAUCAUGCAGUAGAUAUAUUUCUAUCAGUAAGGCAUCUGUACUACUAUUCUCCAAAGUAAUUACACCAUUUUAUGAUCCCACCAAAAAUGAAUAAGAGUAAUGAUUAUUCCAUAUUCUCACCAACAUUUGAUAUUAUUAAUGUUUUACUUUACCCAUUCUUGUGGUCAUGAAAUAGUAUCUCAUGCUAUAGAUAGUGUAUUAAUCCAUUUUCACAUUGCUGAUAAAGACAUACCUGAGACUGGGAAGAAAAAGAGGUUUAAUUGGACUUAUAGUUCCACAUGGCUGGGGAGGCCUCAGAAUCAUGGUGGGAGGUGAAAGGCACUUCUUACAUGACAGCAACAAGAGAAAAAAUGAGAGAGAAGCAAAAAUGGAAACCUGUGAUAAAUCCAUCAGAUCUCAUAAGACUUAUUCACUAUCACAAGAAUAGCAUGGGAAAGGCUGGCCCCCAUGAUUGAAUUACUUCCCACUGGUUCCUUCCCACAACAUGUGGGAAUUCUGGGAGGUACAAUUCAAGUUGAGAUUUGGGUGGGGACACAAUCAAACCAUAUCAGAUAGUAUGAAAAUUAAAGUAAUGAUAUUAUUUUAAUUUCCCUGAUGACCAAUAAUGCCAAACAAUUUUUCAUGUAUGUUUUUUGCAAUUGCAUAUAUUCUUUUCUGAGGCAUUGGUUCAAGUCCUUUCUUUUUUUCAAAAAUUGGGUUGUCUUUAUUAUUGAUCUAUAGAAGAUAUAAUUAUGUUAGAUAUAAAUAUUAGAAAUAUUUUUUCCAGUCUAUGGCUUGCUUAUCAUUUUUAAUCUAUAUUUUUGAUGUACAGAAUACUUAAUUUUUGAUGUUCAAUUUUAUCAAUUUUUUCUUUUGUGUGCUUUUUGUAUUCUGACUAAUUUUGUGAGGUUUCUUGUCCUGUAUUUGCAGCCAAGUUUUUCUAUUUUGUUGUUGUUGUUGAUUAUAAAGUGCUUGUGCUCAGAAGUUUCUUUAUUUUACUUUUCUAUUUAUUACUGAACUGUGACAUUUUAUUUUAACCUCCUUUAUUUACACAUUCUACAUUUCUCCUUCGAGGUAUUUUCUUAAAAAAUCAUAGAGUCAUUUAUCUCUUAUUAUUAAAAAAUAUUUUCCCAAACACUUUCUCAUGUAUUUCUUAGUGUGAUCUCAGUUCUUUAUACAUUAUUAGUCUAAUUUUUACUGAUAAUUAUUUCCCUUUAACUUUUGCUGCAGUUUUGUUUGUUUGUUUGUUUUGGUAAUAGCCAAAUGUAACUUCGAUGUUAGUUUAUUAGUCAGGGUUCUCUACAGGGACAGAACUAAUGGAAUAUAUAUAUGGGAAUUUAUUAAGUUAUUAACUCACAUGAUCACAACUUCCCACAAUAGGCUAUCUGCAGGCUGAGGAGCAAGGAGAGCCAAUCUGAGUUCCAAAGCUGAAGAAUUUGAAGUCCAAUAUUUGAGGGCAGGAAGCAUCCAGCACGGGAGAAAGAUGUAGGCUGGGUGGCUAGGCCAGUCUCUCUUUUCACAUUUUUCUACCUGCUUAUAUUCUAGCUGCACUGGCAGUUGAUUAGAUUUUGCCUACCCAGAUUAAGGGUGGAUCUGCCUUUCCCAAUCCACUGACUCAAAUGUUAAUCUCCUUUGGCAACAUCCUGGCAGACACACCCGGGAUCAAUACUUUGUAUCCUUCAAUCCAAUCAAGUUGACACUCAGUAUUAACAAUCACAGCUAGCUUCUAUUUAGAUUUUCCCAAUCUUGAUUGGGAGAUCUUACGGAAUUUCUGAAGAAGUCUGUAUGGCAUGGAAUAAAAGAGAAUUAGCUGCUGCAUUUGGACCCAAAAUGGUAUGUUUUUAAAACAUCAAUUAUCUUCUCCCCAUGUUAUUGUUUUCCACUUUGGAGUAAUGUUUCUCUCAAUUUUGUUGUUGUGAAAGCUAUUGGGCUUCACAGUGAAGGCUCAGGAUUAAAUGCCUAUGCCUCUCUCUGUAGAAAUAGUCUGGCUGCUUUCUCCUUCUCCUUCAUUUCUAUCUCACUUUGGGGCAUCUUCCUGGGCAAAAAGUUUAAGGAAUAUAAAGUAACAAGAGCAUGCAUGUGUGGUUCUUUCCCUGUCAGGUCCAAUUAUCCUAUAGAUCUGAUAUGUGGGUCCGGGGCCUUAGGGAAUAUCCUUUGUUUUUGCUGUAGCCCGUCCAAACUUGUGAAUUCAUCACUUGAAGUCAAGAAUUGUUAGAUGAGUUUUUAAAACUGUCUCACAUACACUAUAUUCACUGAGCACUGAAAGUUGAGGGUUAACUCUCAGAGCUAUUUCGUCCAAAUUUACCACCUGUAACAGGUUUUCUUUACAUUUCUGUUUUGAAGUCACAGAUAUUUUCUUGAUUCAUUUAAUAGUUUUUGUUUUUAUUACUUUUUAUUUACAUUAUUUAUUUUAGAUUCAAGGGGUACAUGUGCAGGUUUGUUACAAGGGUGCAUUGCAUAAUUCUGGGGUUUGGGCUUCUAUUGAACCCAUCACUCAGGUAGUGAGCGUAGUACCCAAUAGUUUUUCAACCAUUGACCCUCUCUCUCCCUCCCCACUCUAGCAGUACCCAGUGUCUAUUGUUCCCAUGUUUAUGUCCAUGUGUACCCAUUGUUUAGCUCCCAGGUAUAACAGAGAACAUGGGGUAUUUGCUUUUCUGUUUCUCCAUUAGAUCACUUAGGAUAAUGGCCUCCAGUUGCAUCUAUGUUGCUGCAAAGGACAGAAUUCCAUUCUUUAUUACGGCUGUGUAAUAUUUGAUGGGGUAUAUGUACCACAUUUUCUUGAUCCAAUUCACCAUUGAUAGGCACUUAGGUUGAUUCCAUGACUUUGCUAUUGCGAAUAGUGCUGAGAUAAACAUGUUGAGAAAAAGCAGGUGUCUUUUUGUUAGAAGGAUUUCUUUUUCUUUGGGCAAUUACUGGUAGUGGGAUUUCUAGAUCAAAUGGUAAUUCUGUUUUUAGGUCUUUGAGAAAUCUGCAUACUGUUUUCCAUAGGGGUUGAACUAAUUUACAUCCCACCAACAGUGUAUUAGUGCUCCCUUUUCUCCAUAUCCUCACCAACAUUUGUUAUUUUUCUACUGUUUAGUAAUAGUCAUUCUGACUGGUGUAAGAUGGUAUCUCAUUGUGGUUUUAAUUUGCAUUUCUCUGAUGAAAAGUGAUGUUGAGUAUUUUUUCAUAUGUUUGUUGACUGCUUAUAUGACUUCCUUUGGGAAUUAUCUGUUCAUGUCCUUUGCCCACUUUUUAAUGGGCUUAUCAGUGUUUUUUUCUUAUUAAUUUGUUUAAGUUUCUUAUAGAUUCUUGAUAUUAGUCCUUUGUUGGAUGUGUACUUUGCAAAUAUUUUCUGCCAUUCUGUAGGUUGUCUGUUUAUUCUGUUGAUUGUUUAUUUUGCUGUGCAGAUGCUCUUUAGUUAAGUCCCAACUGUCAAUUUUUUGUUUUGUUACAUUUGCUUUUGAGGUCUUAGUCAUAAAUUUAUUGCCUAGGCCAAUGUUGAGAAAGUUUUUCCUGGAUUUACCUCUAGGAUUUUUAUGGUUUGAGGAAUUAUAUUGAAAUCUUUAAUCCAUCUUGACUUAAUUUUUGCAUGGUGAGAGGUAGGUGCCCAGUUUCUUUUUUCUGCAUAUGGCUAGCCAGUUUUCCCAGCACCAUUUAUUGAAUAAGGUGUCCUUUGCCCGUGAUUUAUUUGGGUCAACUUUGUCAAACCUGAGUUGGUUGUAGGUGUGUCACUUUAUGUCUGGGUUAUCUAUUCUGUUCCAUUGAUGUAUUUCUCUAUUUGGUUGUACAAAUACCAUGCUGUUUUGGUUACUAUAACCUUGCAGAAUAGUUUGAAGUCAAGUAAUGUGAUGCCUCCAGUUCUGUUCUUUUUAUUUAGGAUUGCUUUGGCUAUUUAAGCUAUUCUUUGGUUUCAUAUAAAUUUUAGAAUUGUUUUUCCUGACUGUGAAAAGUGGCAUUGGUGAUUUGAUAGAAAUUGUCUUGAAUCUGUAGAUUGUUGAAUCUGUAGAUUGCUUUGGGGAGUAUGGUCAUUUUAGUGAUAUUGAUUCUUCCAAUCCACACAUGAAAUGUUUUCCAUUUCUUUGUGUCAUCUGUGAUUUCUUUAAGCAGUGUUUUGUAGUUCUUCUUGUAGAGAUAUUUUACCUCCUUGGUUAAAGGUAUUCCUAGAUAUUUUAUUUUUUGUGGCUAUUGUAAAUGGGAUUGCAUUAUUUAUUUGUUUCUCAGCUUAGACAUUAUUGAUGUAUCAAAAUGCUACUGAUUUUUGUACAUUGAUUUUGUACCCUGAAACUUCACUGAAGUCAUUGAUUAGAUCUAUGAGUCUUUUGGAGGAAUCUUUAGGGUAUCCUACAUAUGAAAUCAUACCACUAGCAAAGAGAAAAUUUGACUUUCUCUCCCUAUUUGGAUGCCUUUCGUUUCUUUUACUUGUCUGAUUGCUCUGGCUAGAACAUCCAGUACUAUGUUGAAUAUGAGUGGUGAGAAUGGAUAUCCUUGUUUUGCUCUGGUUCUGCUUCCAACUUUGCCCACUCAGUAUGAUGUUGGCCGUAGGUUUGUCAUAGAUGGCUCUUAUUAUUUUGAGGUAUAUUCCUUCUAUAUCUAGUGUUGAGGGUUCCAUUCUUGAAGAGAUGUCAGAUUUUAUCAAAUCCUUUUUGUGUCUGUUGAGAUGAUUAUAUAGGUUUUGUUUUUAAUUUUGUUUAUGUGUUGAAGCACAUUUAUUGAUUUGUAUACAUUGAAUUAUCCUUACAUUACAGGAAUAAACUUACCACCUGGUAGUGGUAAGUUACUUUUUUUGAUGUGAUGCUGGAUUUAGAUUGCUAGUAUUUUGUUGAGGACUUUUGCAUCUAGGUCCAUCAGGGAUAUUGGCUUGUAGUUUUCUUUUUGUUUUGUCCUUGCUGGAUUUUUGUAUUAGAAUGAUACUAGUUUCAUAGAAUGAGUGAGAAAGGAGUCCCUCCUCCUUGAUUUUUUUUUUUUUUUGGAAUAGUUUAAUUAAGAUUGAUACCACUUCUUUGUAUGUUUGGUAGAAUUAGGCCAUGAAUCCAUUUGGUCCAGGGCUUUUUCUGGUUGGUAGAUUUUUUUAUUUACUGAUUCAGUCUCAUAAUCUUUUUUUAUUACUGAUUCAAUCUCAUAAUUUGUUAUUAGUCUAUUCAGGAUUCCAGUUUCUUCCUGGUUCAGUCUUGGGACAUUGUGUGUUUUUGGGAAAUUAUCCAUUUCAUCUAGGUUUUCUAGUCUCUGUGCAUAGAGAUGUUCAUAGUAGUCUCUGAGGAUCUUUGGUAUUUCUGUGGUAACCUUUAUGUAACUGUCCAACGUGUACAUCUUGCCCAUUCCCCAGACAGAGCUGACUGAUCAAAACAUGGGAAUUGCAAUGAAGAAAAUAAUUCACACAGAGCCAGCUGUGUGAGAGACCAGAGUUUUAUUAUUACUCCAAUCAAAUAUUCGAGUAUUUGGGGAUCAGAGUUUUUAAGGAUAAUUUAGUGAGUGGAUGAAGGACAGUGAGUCGAGAGUGCUGAUUGGUUGGAUUGGAGAUGAAAUCAUAGGGAGUUGAUCCUCUUGCACUGAGUCAGUUCCUGGGUGGGGGCCAAAAGAUCAGAAGAGCCAGUUUAUUGAUCUGGGUGGUGCCAGCUAAUCCAUCAAGUGCAGGAUCUGCAAAAUAUCUCAAGCACUGAUCUUAGGAGCAGUUUUGAGAGGGUCAGAAUCUUGUAGACUCCAGCUGCAUGACUCCUAAGCCAUUAUUUCCAAUCUUCUGGUUAAUCUGUUAGUCCUACAAAGGCAAUCUAGUCCCCAGGCAAGAAGGAGGUUUGUUUUGGUUAAUGGCUAUUAUUGUCUUUGUUUUAAACUAUAAGUUAUAAAUUAAGUUCCUGUGAAAGUUAGUUCAGCUGGCUCCCAGGAAUGAAUGAGAACAGCAUGGAGAUUAGAAGCAAGAUAGAGAUGGUUAGGUCAGAUCUCUUCUACUGUCUCAGUUAUAAUUUUGCAAUGGUAGUUUCAUUUCUAAUGUCAACUUUGUCAUUUCUCAUUAUAUUUGUUUGGAUCUUUUCUCUCUUUUUUUUUUCUUGGUUAAUGUAACCAGCAAUCUAUCAACCUUGUUUAUUACUUCAAAGAACCAACUUUUCAUUUUGUUGAUCCUUUGUAUGUUUUUCUUGGUCUCAGUUCCAUUUAGUUUUUUUUUUUCUUGUGCUAACUUUAAGUUUAGUUUGUUCUUGUUUUUCUAGUUCCUUUAGGCGCCAGGUUAGAUUGUUAAUUUGAUCUUUCUAUCUUUUUAAUGUAGGCAUUUAGCACUAAAAACAUUCUUCUCAACACUGCUUUAGCUGCAUCCCAGAGGCUUUCGUAUGUUGUGUCUCUGUUUUGUUUUGAAAUAUGUUGUGAUUUCUGCCUUAAUUUUGUUGUUUAUCCAAAGGUCAUUCAGCAGCAAGUUGUUUGGUUUCCAGGUAUUUGUGUGGUUUAAAGUGUUCCUCUUGGUAUUAAUUUCUAAUUUUAUUCCACUGUGAUCCAAUAAGAGGCUUGAUAUGAUUUUUAUUUUUAUUUAUUUUUUUAUUGAGGUUUGCUUUAUGACUGAGCAUGUGGUCAAUCUUAGAGAAUGUUUCAAGGGCAGAUGAGAAGAAGAAAUACUCUGUGGUUGUUGAGUGGACUAUUCUGUAGAUAUCUUUUAGGUGUGUUUGGUCCAGAGUCCAAUUUAAGUCCAGAAUCUCUUUGUAAUUUUUCUGCUUCAUACUGUCUAAUGCUCUAAGUGAGGUGUUAAAGACCCCCACUAUUACUGUAUGGCUGUCUGUUUCUUUCCUUAGAUCUAGUAGUAUUUAUUUUAUAAAUCGAGUGCUCUGAUGUUGGGUGCAUAUAUAUUUAGGAUGGUUAGAUUUUCUUGUUAACGUGAACACCUUAUCAUUAUAUAACACCCAUCUUUGUCUUUUUUUUUUUUCUUUCACUGUUGUUGGUUUAAAGUCUCUUUCAUCUGACACAAAGAUUGUAAACUCUGGGCUUUUUUGUUUACCAUUUGCUUAAAUAUCUUUAGACUUCCCUCUACUUUGAGCCUAUGGGUAGCAUUAUAUGGAAGAUGUUACUCUUCAAGGCAGCAGAUAGGUUCUUGUUGUUGUCGUCGUUGUUGUUUUCAUUCGAUUUGCCACUCUUUCUUUUGAGUAGAGCAUUUAUACUGUUCGUGUUCAUGGUUAAUAUUGAUAUGCAUGGUUUUGUUCCUGUCUUAUUGCUAUUAGUUAGUUGCUUUGUAGUCUUCAUUGUGUGAUGACUUUAUAGGGUCUGAGGCUUCGUAUUUAUGUGUGCUUUUAUAAUAGCAAGUAUUGUUCUUUUGUUUCCAUGUUUAAAACUUCCUUAAGCAUUCCUUGUAGGGCCAAUUUUGAUGUGAUUAAUUCCCUUGGUGUUUGUUUUUCUGGGAAAGACUUUAUUUCACUUUCAUUAUGAAGCUUCAUUUGCCAGGAAUAUAAAAUUUGUAUGUAUUAGUCUGUUCUCAUGUCUAAUAAAGACAUAUCUGAGACUGGGUAAUUUAAAAAGGAAAGACAUUUAAUAGACUCACAGUUCUGCAGGGAGGAGAAGGCCUCAGGCAACUUACAAUAAUGGGUAGAAGGGGAAGCAUACAAGUCGUUCUUCACAUGGUGACAGCAAGGAGAAGUGCCAAGCAAAAGGGGGAAAAGCUCCUUGUAAAACUACCAGAACUUGUGAGAACUCACUAUCACAAGAACAGCAGAAUGGGAGUAAUUGUCCCCAUGAUUCAAUUACCUCACAGUGGGUUCUUCCCACGAUAUGUGGGGAUUAUGGGAACUACAAUUCAAGAUGAGAUUUGGGUGGGAACACAGCCAAGCCUUAUAAUUCUUCCCCUGGCACCAAUUCUCAUAUCCUCCCAACAGUCCCCCAAAGUUUUAACUCAUUCCAGCAUUAACACAAAACUCCAAAGUCUCAUCUGAGACAAAGCAAAUCCCUUUCACCUAUGAGCCUGUAAAAUCAAAAGCAAGUUAGUUACUUCCCAUAUACAGUGAUGGUACAGGCAUUGGGUAAAUACACUUAUUCCAAAUGGGAGAAAUUGACUCAAAUGAAGGGGAUACAGGCCCCAUGCAAGUCCAAAAUAUAGCAGGGCAGUCAAAUAUUAAAGCUCCAAAAUGAUCUCCUUUGACUCCAUGUCUCACAUCCAGAUCAUGCUGAUGCAGGAGGUGGGAUCCCACAGCCUUGAGCAGCUCUGCCCCUGUGGCUUUGCAAGGUACAGCCCCCUCCUGGCUUUUUUCAUGGGGUGGCAUUGAGUGUCUACAGCUUUUACAAGUACACAGUGCAAGUUGUCAGUGGAUCUACCAUUCUGGGGUCUGAAGGAUGGCAGCCCUCUUCUCAUAGCUCCACUAGGCAGUUCCUCAGUGGGGACUCUAUGUGGGGCUCCAAUCCCCUAUUUCUUUUGUGCACUGCCCUCGCAGAUGUUCUCCAUGAGGGCUCCACCUCUGUAGCAAGCUUUUUCCUGGAUAUCCAGGCAUUUCCAUACAUUCUUUGAAAUCUAGCUGGAGGUUCCCCAACCUUAAUUCUUGACUUCUGUGCACCUGUAGGCCCACCACCACAUGGAAGCCUCCAAGGCUUGGGGCUUGCCCCCUCUGAAGCAAUGGCCUGAGUUGCACUUUGGCCCUAUUUAGCCCCAGCUGGAGCAGCUGGGACACAGGACAGCAAGUCUCAAGGCUGCACACAGCAGGGUGGCCCUGGACCUGGUCCAGGAAACCAUUUUUCCCUCCUAGGCCUCUGGGCCUGUGAUAGGAGGGGUUGCUGUGAAAGUCUCUGACAUAUCCUGGAGACAUUUUCCCCAAUAUCUUGGUGGUUAACAUUUGGCUUCUUGUUACUUAUGCAAAUGUUUGCAGCCAGCUUGAAUUUCUUCCCAGAAAAUGGGGUUUUCUUUUCUAUUGCAUCAUCAGGCUGCAAAUUUUCCAAACUUUUAUGCUCUUUUCCCUGUCUAAUGCUUUGCUGCUUAGAAAUUUCUUCUCCCAGAUACUCAUCUCUCUCAAGUUCAAAAUUCCACAGAUCUCUGGACCAGGGGCAAAAUGCCUCCAGUUUCUUUGCAUAGCAAGAGUGACCUUUACUCCAGUUCCCAAUAAGUUCCUCAUCUCCAUUUGAGACCACCUCAGCCUGGACCUUAUUGUCCAUAUCACUAUUAGCAUUUUGGUCAAAGCCAUUCAACAAAUAUCUAGGAAGUUCCAAAUUUUCCCACAUUUUCCUAUCUUCUUCUGAGUCUUCUAAACUGUUCCAAUCUCUGCCUGUUACCCAGUUUCAAAGUUGCGUCCACAUUUUCAGGUAUCUUUACAGCAGCACCCCAUUCCAGGUACCAACUUACCGUAUUAGUUCAUUCUCACUCUGCUAAUAAAGACAUACCUGAGACUGGGUAAUGUAUAAAGGAAAGAGGUUUAAUUGACUCACAAUUCUGCAGGGCUGGGAAGGCCUCAGGAAACUUAAAAUCAUGGUAGAAGGGGAAGCAAACAUGUACUUCUUCACGUGGCAGCAGCAAGGAGAAGUGCCGAGCAAAACAGGGAAAAGCCCCUUACAGAACCAUCACAUCUUGAGAGAAUUCACUUACUACCAUGAGAACAGCAGCACUGGUGUAACCACCCCCAUGAUUCCAUUACCUGCCACCAGGUCCCUCCCAUGACACAUGGGGAUUAUGAGAACUACAAUUCAAGAUGAGAUUUUGGUGGGGACACAGUCAAAGCAUAUCAUCUUGGUUGGCUUUUUUUUUAAAGAAGGCUAAAAAUAGGCCCCCAAUUUUUUCUGGCUUGUAAGGUUUGUUCUGAGAAGUACACUGUAAGUCUGAUGAGAAUUCCUUUAUAUGUAAUUUGGCCCUUUUCUCUAGCUAACUUUAAAUUUUUUGUCUUUUGCUUGGACCUUGGAUAGUGUGAUGACUAUAUGCCUUGGGGAUUGUUGUAUAACACAGUAUCUCAUAGGCAUUAUCUGGAUUUCUUCUAUCUGAAUAUUGACUCUCUAGCAAGAUUAGGGAAGUUUUCCUGAAUUAUUUCCUUAGAUAUAUUUUCCAAGUUGCUUACUUUUUAUCCUACUCUCUCAGAAAUGACAAAAAGUCAUAGGUUUUGUCACUUUACAUAAUCCUAUAUUUCUCGAAGGCUUUGUUUAUUCUUUUAAUUUUUUUUCUUUAUUUUUGUCUGACUGAGUUAAUUUGAAAGAUUAGUCCUCAAGUUCUGAAAUUCUUUAUUCUGCUUGGUCUAGUCUAGAGUUAAAGCUUUCAACUGAAUUUUGAAACUGCUCUAGUGAAUUUUUCAGUUCCAGAAGUUCUUUUGGUUGAUUUUUCUUAAUAUAGCUAUGCCAUCUUUCAUAACCUGAAUUGUUUUCCUGCUUUCUUUGUGUUAGAUUCCAACUUUCUCUUGGAUCUAAUUGAGUUUCUUUGCCAUUCAUAUUUGAAUUCUUUAUCUAUCACUUCAGAUAUUUCAAUUGGGUUAGGAUCUGUUAUUGCUACAGAGCUAGUGUGAUCCUUUGGUGGUGUCACAACACUCUGCCUUUUUGUACUGCCAGCGUUCUUUUGCUGAUUCCUUUUCAUCUCAGAGAGCUGUUACUUCUUUUUUUAAAUUUGAUAUUGUUUGGAUUAUUUUUAAAAAUUCUUUUUUUCUUGAGUGUAUAAAUGUGUUUUAUGUUGUGUAUGGUUUUUUGGCUUAAUUUCUAUGCAUUUUCAGUGGGUCAAGGCUCUGUAUGGGUUCCUUGGUUGCAGGUAGCUUCUGUGCAGUGGCUUUCUCAUAUGCUGUUUGUUAUAAUGGUGUUUUGGAUAUAAGGGCCAACCCUGUGAGGCUAAGGGUGUGGAAGUCUCAGGAGGCUUAUCUCAUGGACUAUCACUAAGCCCUCUGGUAGCAGGAUUUUUGUUUGGUGGUGCAAUGUAGGCUGCAGUCCAGUAUAUGGUGCUUUAAGAGUGAGAGCUUGCAGGUAGACUGGUGCUGAGUGUACUUGCCCACCCUGAUGGGGGUUGUGGGAAGAGAUUUUAAUGGGGGGGCGUACACUGAGGUCUUGGGAUAAGGGAUAGGGUAGGGUACAACAGCUCCUCAUCCUGAGCUGGCAGAAACAUAAUCCACUUCUCUAUCACACCUCUCUCAUUGGGCUCAUGACCUUCUAUUUAUAAAGGCUUUUCCUUUUGUUCAUUCACCUGCACCCUGCCUGAGUGUAGCUGCUGCAGGCCAUGGUUACCCGUGUCAGCUACCAUUAAAAUGGGGCUUGGGACAGAGCCCAACUCCAAAUGGGGCUUGGGCAGGCAACUCCAUGGUAUGUCCUCCAUUGCCAAGGUGCUACCACUCUGUGUAAGGAGGGUGAGAAGGGCCCCACCCUUCUCGAAAGUCCAAGUGUGCACAGGCUCACAUUCAGAGGGAUGGAGCCACCAUGAAAAGUAUGAAAAGCACUUUCUUUGAUUACGUAGCAGCCCCUGGUAGGAAGAACUGUGGCUACAUCGGGAACAUUCCACAAUAGUGUUUUAGGGUAGGGGGAGAAGACACCCUCUCCUUUGUCCCCAGGCAUCAGUGCUAACUUUCAAUGGUCAGCCCUCCUCCUGUGUUUCCUUAUCCCAAGGGGAUCUUUGGCAGGCUGUGUUUCCCUUCCCUUAAAGGUGGUCCAUACCAAGUGGUAGAUCUCCUGAGGAAAGUGAUUUAAAAAAUAGUGGAAUUUUGAGUGCGAUCUAGGAAAUUUAUUGUGUAUUCAGUGUAUAUGUGCCCUGACAAUGAAUAGAGAAAGAACUUUUUGUAUAACUAUUUUAUAGGUUAAGAAACCAAGAUUCAGUGAGACCAAGUUUUUUGGUCAUCUUCUCAUAUGACAGAGCUGGGAAGAAUCCCCUGAGUUUCCUAGUUCAUGUUAUUUGUACUUUGACUGGUCUUCAUUAUCUUUUCCAAGUUCUUUCCCAAAAAAUAUUUAUCACCUGAUGAAAAAUGCAAAGCAUUUAGCAACACAAUCAGGGUAACAUAUAUGAAAACGUUAUGCUUUUCAGAAUUUUCUCACUUUGAACACUUAAACCUGAUUAUUUAGGAAAGUCCACAAAAGCCUCCCAAACUCAAUAUAGCUUCCUUAGCUUCUUAGUAUGAUUAUAUUCAAUAGUAUUAUAUUUCCUCUAAGAUGGUACAGACUGGUAAUAAGGACAGAUUUUACAGAAAAUUAGCUCUUCUAAUCCUGAGACCUAAGUUAUGGACAAAAAAGAAGAUAAGUGGAAACUGAGUUGCUUUUAGUACAUUCACUUGAUUUUAUUAAAUUUUUAUUAAUCACUAAUUCAUUUACUCAAUAGAUGUUUUUGAAAUACCUACCUUUAAGUAUAUGUGAAACCAGGGAUAAAAGCUACCAUUUAUUGAAUGACUAUUGUGUGCUAAUAUUGGGUGAGAUAUUCUACAUACAUAUUUACGCUGUUAAUCAAGUUAGGCCUCCAGAGUCUGACCAUAAACAAUAAUCCUGUUAAUUAAGACAGCAUGAGUGAAAAUGUCCAUGUCCAUUCCCAUGUUCAUCACAAUCUUUGAGUAUUUGCUUCCAUUCUGCACUCCCUCUAACUGGUAGAAAUAAGGUGCUCAUGAAUUUUUCCAGGUGAGUUUGCGUACAAACAUUGGUAAAACAAGGUUCCAAUCAGAUUUUUCUUUUUGCCUCAGAAUUAAUGUCGGGACACUGAUGGAGUCUGCUGAUAGUAUUAAAGUUCUUAAAAAGUAUAAGAAAUUCUUGCUUAAGGAUUGGUAUCAAUCUUCCUAAUAAUUUAAUUGCUUUUUUUAACUUAUACUAGUUUGAGUACAUUUUUGUUCUUUUAAAACAAGUGUUUCCUAAGAUAAUAUAUAAACAGAGAAGUAGGCCCAUGUGGGAGGGAAUUCAUCAAGUAGAUGAACAUCUUUGUAGUAACAAUGAGACCAGAGAAAGACAUCUACAAAUGUGAUAUUUUAAAAAUAAUGUUAACAAUUAAUGUUUAUAUAAAGCUUUAAAUUUGCAAUGCAUAUUUACAUAAAUAAUCUUACUUGAUCUUCUCAAUUACCUAGUGAAAUAAUCAUCCAAUUUCAUAUGUGAAAAUCAUCCACAAUAAGUUAUUUGCCAAAAGUUACAACUAAUAAGUGGUUGGUCCAGGGUUAUAUGCCAGAUUCUCUCAUUAUAAACCUUUAGUUCUUUCCAUAGUAUCGAGGCUUCUAUGUUAUCACUUGUUCUUUAUAAAAUGCUUGACUAAAUGGAGGUUCCUACAUCUUAUGAUCUUAUGAUCAUCAGUUCCUAAAGGACAGAAUUUCAACAAAUUGAGAUAGUCACAUUAUGUCAAUUAUCUGCCACUCUAAAAAUAAUAUCUACACUGCAGUUCUUAAAAGAAUAAUAGGAAAAAAUAGACUUAAGAAACACGUAUGUUAAGAGGAAUAUCAGAAAAAGGGAUACAGGAAGUAAUUAUUCCAAUUACCAAGUAUUUGUUCAUGUAUAGAAUGAUUCACUGCCGGCUCCAUUAAAUAAUAUUCAUUAGAUGAACUUUAAUUUAUACAAAUUAAAUUUCCGUAAAACGUCAUAGAGAUAUAGGUCAUUACAGAGUUAAAAAAAAUGCAAAGUCAUCUAAUCUAACUAAAACUAUUUCGUAAAGUGGAACAAAUGUGAUUUUAUUAUCCAACUAUUUGCUGUUUGUUAUCUUCCAAGGAAACUGUGAUUUAAUUGAUUUCUAUAAAUGCUUAUUGGGUAUGCAGGGCAUGUACCUAGAAACUGGAAGCAUAUCAUUACAAUAACCCAUGGGCCCCUGAUUUCCAGUGAAAACAAUACACAAAUGCUUGUAUGACAAGGUGGAUUUUGGCAAGCACUACACUAACAGUAUAACAUGUAAUAGAGGAACUGGGAAAGAAAAUAUUUAAUUCAAACUUAAGUGCUCUGGAAACCCUCCAAUGAGGAAAUAUAAGGGAACAUGAAGUAUUAAAGUCUUAAAGGGUGAUCAACACCCAUAUUUCAAUUUAAAGAGAUUUUUAUUUCUAUUUAACUGUUUUUAAGAUCCUGAUUGGUUAAGCUCAAUUUUGUAAAUCCAAGCUCUCAGUGAUAAUUAUAUUUAACUCUCUAUGUAUUGACUGUUAAUGGAGCAUGCAUGUAAAUUAUGACCAAUAUGUUAGGAUCUACAAGACAAUAAACUGCAUCCAUCUUUUCCAAUAAACAAAUAGGUAAAUAUAAAGACAAGUCCAAACUAACAUCUAUACAAUUGAUAUAGGCCAGUUUAGAAGGUGAUGGAUUAACGUGGGAUCCAAAUGCACUACUUUUAUGUUAUGCAAGCCCCAGAAUAAGAAGAUUGACUCAUCAGUCACAGCAGCAUUGGUCUUCUACCAACCUUUACCUCCCUUCCUGUGAGCAGAGCAGGGAGAAGAUGGAAAUGGUGGCGAAGGAGGUUGGAGCUCAGCUAAGCAAAGGAGGUAACCCUUCACGAGUUUACUUUGCAAACAACUCACUUCCACUCCCCCGGGGAAAGGAAAAUAAAGAACAGAGAGGUGCAAGGAAUGUGAGAAUGUGCCUCUUCAUGGAAACCAGGAGUGAGGAAAUUAUAUUCCAUUGCUAAUAUCCCAUGAGAUGAUUCUGAUUAUUAGGGAAGAUAUAUAUCUUUUGGGAUUAUUUGCAGUCUUUUUCCUAUAAAUUGCCAAGCUUAUACUUUUUUAAGAAUGGUCAAUUUUUUUUAGAAAGGUGUUUAAUUAUCUUUUUUUAUAUUUGUAAGAUCUAAAUAAAUAGUAUGACAGUAGAUAUAAGAAUAAGUGACAUAGUCAGUAACUGUUGUCUCACAUAUAUAACCUCUAAAUUUCUUUUUUUUUUUUUCACUUUGUAUAAUCCACCUCUCCUCUUUGGUGGGGAUUGGCCUGAGUUUCAGGAGUGAGGUAUCUUUUACUCAGUGGUAGAUAUAACUGAAACAAAAAAAGGUAAAAAGAAGAGGAAGAAAACCGAUGAAAUAGGGAAAAGUAAUGAAAGAAAAAAAUUGACUUGGAGGAAUUCUAGAAACACAUUUUGACUUUUACCUUCUAAACCAGUGGAUGGUUGAGCAGAUAUGCAGGCAUCUAAAGAAGCCAGAGGAGUGGUAAUUAUUCCUGGAUUCUCUGCAGACAAUUCAGUCCAUGAAUAUCAAUAACUUUUUUAAAAACUUUAGCUGAUAUGGCUUGGCUGUGUCUCCACCCAAAAUCUCCUCUUGAAUUUUAAUUCCCAUAACCCCCACAUGUCAAGGGCAGGAUGAGGUGGAAGUAAUCAGAUCAUGGGGGUGGUUUCCCCCAUGCUGUUCUCAUGAUAGUGAGUAAGUCUCAUGGGAUCUGAUGGUUUUGUAAGCAUCUGGCAUUUCCCCUACUUGCACUCACUCCAUCCUGCCACCCUGUGAAGAGGUGCCUGUUUCUCUUUUGCCUUCUGUCAUGAUUGUAAGUUUGUGGAGGCCUCCCCAGCAAUGCAGAACCGUGAGUCAAUUAAACCUCUUUCAUUUAUAAAUUACCCAAUCUUGGGUAUUUCUUCAUAGCAGUGUGAGAACGAACUAAUACAUGGGCAUUUAUAUAUUUCUGUACUAUUCAUCUAUAUUGACCACUACUUUUGGUUCUUUUAGACAAUACUGUUUCUAUGGAGGCAUGCAUCCUCACCACCUGUAUGUGAAACUGCACUUUAAGAAUUGUCUGUUUUGCUCUUUGAAUUAUCCUUAUUACAGUCUAAUAUUUGGGAGCAGAUAAGUCAUGACCAAGAUGGGCUUAUAAUCUAAAGCUUGCAUGUCUGUGAGUUUUAUUCAUCAAGUAGAACAUUCUCUGUAUUGCAGAGAAUUAUGGUAAGGCAGAAAGUGGAGGAAACAAUAUAUUUUAGAACAUUUAAUUGUUUAACAUGAUUACCUAAGUAUAGACACUGAAACCCCUAAGUGCAUUUUUGCUUCAUUUUAGCUUUGAUUUGUAACUUUCUUAAAACUAAACCUUGCUCACUUGUCAGACCACAGAUAUACUUUACUUCAGAGUGAAGGCUCAAAACCUUCAUGUAUUCCCUUUUAUAUAGAAGCAAAUGUGUUCACUUUUAUAUGGAAGUCACUUCCAAUAAGGAAAAUACACAUCAUAGUUAUUUUUCACCAGAGGAAAUGUUUCUGGAAAUAAGAACAGUGAUUUUCACAGUGGUGCAUUAUGAUCAUCCUCUGGUUUUCCAAGUCGAGGUUCUGUUUUAAGUGAGGAUUUUCAUAUUUCAUUAGUUAUUAUCACUAUUUCUAACUUACCAAUAUGGGAAGAGUUCUGGCAGGAAAAAUUACCUUGCUGGCCUUGAAAAUUUUGAAGUUGCAGUUAGUGGAGGAUAAGGACCAGUUGUGCCACCUGGAAAAUGUUUAAAAUUCCUUCCUAGUGAGAUGAAUAUUAUUUACCUACAAUCAUCCUUUCCAGGGUUCCCAAUCAACUCACACUAUUUUUAGAUCCAUUCAAAUUGGCUAAUAAUGAGGAUUUACAUGAAUUGUGCCUGGUAAUGCCGUUGUCCAAGUGGCCUUUCAGUUCUGGAAUUAUCAUCUUAGGAUUCUACAAUAGCUGUGUAAAUGAAGGGUAGAAAUGCACCCCGCACUGCAUAAAAUUGUUGAAAAGACAUGUCUAAUCUUAAAACCAGAUCUUGAUUAGUAAUGCUUUAUUUGAGGAGGAAAGUGAGAAGGGAUUAGGAUGUGUCAUGAAUGGAACCCCUACACAGUGCUUUCUGAAAAUCUCAGGGUUCAGAAGAUAAUAUUUUCAUAGAGGUAAAAAAUAGGCUACCAACAAUAAAUUAAGGAAAGUGGCUCAGAUUUGAUGGAAUUUUGUUAGUAAUUCUAGAACUCAAUGUAAGAUAAAUAUUAUUAAAGCCAAUUAAGAGGAUUGCUAAGUUACACUGCAAACAAAAGCACUAAAAUAGUAUGGAGUACAUAGAGUCUUGAUAAGGAAUAACAAAAAUCACAUGGGACAACUCAAUGUGUCUACAAGAAUGAGGCAUUUCCUAAGAGGACACUUUGCUCUUUUAAUGAGUAAAGUAUUCUUAUGAUUGGACCAUCUCCCAGGGUUUUCAGAGAGCCUGUGAUCAGCCUGCUAAUCCCUUCUCUAUGAACUCUGAGCACUGCUAAAGACCAGAAGAGAUACCAAAUGUUUGGCAAAGAGAGUUUUAAUUUCUCAGGGGUGCAGGGAGUAAAUUCCAUAGACUUGUCAGCUUGAACUUGACCUUGGGCAUCAUACUGGAAUAGAUUACUAAAGGGAUGAUUUGUGAUCUUCUACAAAAGGAAUAUUUGAAGGGUUGCUAUGCAGCCUUCCUAAGAACCACUAAAAGUGGGAGGGGCUACUCCAGAAGGCAUUAACUUUUCAUGAUUAGACACAUUCCUGCUAAGGCUAAAUAAUCAUAUGGCAGUGAUGUGCUCAGAGUGACCAUUAAGAUUGCCACAAUAAAAACAGGUUCCAUGAUUCUCUGUAUCCAGUCAGGAGAAAGAAGUCACACCAUUUAUUUAAACAGAGAAUUUAAUUUUAAAAAUUGUUAACUAGGUAUAUUUGUUUUCUGGGGCUGGCAUAACAUAGUUUGAUAAACUAGGUGCCUCAAACAACAGAAAUCAAUUGGUUAUAAAUAAAUUUCUUUUUGAAAAAAUAUUUGUUAAAAAAAUAAGUAAAGCAAAAUCUAUUCACAAUAAAUCAAUAAUAGUUCUGGAAGCUAGAAGUUUGAGAUCAAGGAGUAUUUCUUGCAGUAUUUCAGCAGUAUUUCUUCCUUCUGAGGGUUGGGAGGGAGAAUCUGCUUCAUGCAUCUUUCCUAGCUUUUGGUGGUUUGAUGCAGUCUUUGGCACUCCUUGGCUUGUAGUAUGUCACCCUGAUCUCUGCCUUCAUUCUUCACAUGGCAUUCCCCCUGUGUGCAUGUCUGUCCCAGUUUCUCCUUUUUAUAAGUACACAAUCUUAUUGGAUUAGAGUCCACCUAAUUAUCUCAUCUGCAAAGACCCUAUUCCAAAUAAGGUCACAUUUACAGGUACUGAGGAGUUAGAACAUGGAGAUUUUGUGGGGCUGACAUGGUUUAGGCUCAGUGUCUCCACCCAAAUCUCAUCUUGAACUGUAAUCCCCACAUGUCAAGGGAGGGACCUAGUGGAGGGGAUUAGAUCAUGGGGGCAGUUUUCCUCAUGCUGUUCUCAUGAUAAUGAGUGAGUUCCCGUGAGAUCUGAUGGUUUUAUAAGUGGAGGUUUCCCCUGCUUGCUCUCUUUUUCUUACUGCCUUGUGAAGAAGAUAUUUGCUUCUCUUUUGUCUUCCGCCAUGACUGUAAGUUUCCUGAGGCCUCCCCAGUCAUGUAGAACCGUGAGUCAACAACUAUGAGUAAACCUCUUUCCUUUAUAAAUUACCCAGUCUCAGGUAUUUACAGUAGUGUGAAAGCAGACUAAUACAGGUGUCCACAAUUCAACCCAUAAUUUUAGGUAACCUAAAAAGCAAAAUGUUUUCACAGAGGUAGUAACUGUAGAAAGAGCUACCACCUCCAGCGCUGCAGGAGCAAAGGGAUGUGGCUAAAAUGAUCAAAUCAUAGAAACUUGGAAAAACGGCUUCAAGGAGCUGAAACCCAGACACCUGGGACAGGGGCAUUUAUGCUCAGGUGGUCCUAGUGUCUCUGACGGAGGGCUCAACGAGGCUACUUCUGCAAGCGUGCAAAAAACUGCAAACAUUGAGCAAACUACAAACGGUGCCCAGGUGCUGCUACAAGAAGCAACUGCCCCUGCUAGAGUGACAUCUUAUAGGAGUAAUUAUCAUAGGAGCGGCAAACCCACAGAAUCUGCAAGUCCUUCAGCCUCCUUCAGCCUCUGGCACCCCCUAUUGGUAGAGCCUUGUAGAAGCAGCUGGUAAAGCAAAAAUUGGUUUCUGCAGUGCCAGCCCUAGCUAGCAUCACAAAAUAAAGUAGAAAAAAGUGUUUGGAGGACCACAGCCUUGGACAGCUUUCUCUGUUUUUCUCUGGGUCAUUUGCUGAUCUUGACUCAUUCAAAUUAGAGUAAAAAGUGUGCCAAUUACUAAUUUAUUCUUUCUCAGCUACAAACCCACAUUUUUUGACCCAAUAGGUGUCACACAAUUCCUAGAUUUGUGGAGUUACUGAUGUAUAAAUUAUUGCCUUUAUUUCUUUAUCUAUAAAAUGGGUAUGCAAAUAAUAAGUACCUCACAGAGUUGUUGUGAGGACACAUGAAAAGUACUUAGAACAGUAGGUCACAUGGACUAAGUUGUUAGUUAUAUUAGUUAUUAUUUUAUUACUAUUUUGUUUUAUUGGAUAAUUAAAAGUUCAAGAAUUAACAACAUGUUUCAGGGCCUAUCUAUUCCUAUUCAGGAAAUUAAUGAAACUUAGGAAAAAAUUCAGGUGUUUGCUCAGUGCCAAUAUAACACCUACAAAUAAAUAUGAAUUAUUCUACGUCUUCAUUAACUAAAAUCAAGUAUCUCAACCUCCUGUUAACACUUAACAUUCUAUAGCUGAUUAUUAUUUCUAGAACCUCCUAAAUACUUUCAGAAAAGAGAGCUUCUGCUUAAGCGACAUGACUACAAAAGCCAGGAUAGCGAAUAUCUGCAUGACUGUCUACUACUGAUUGGUGGUGGCUGCCUGGAAAGCUGAGUUGAGGAGUCUGAGGCUCCCUGUGGGUCCAGAAGCAAAAAGUUGAGGAUCAUUUAGCAAUCUCAGCAUCAGGCAUGGGAGAGUGCAUUUGUGGCACUCCUGUCUUCCUCUUGAUUUUAUCAACAUUAGAAGAAAGAGUACGGUUUCCAGGGUCAAAACAGAAUUAAAUGUCUGGUUUCUAUACAAAGCUGAGAUUGGAAGUAAUAAUACCUCAAAUGGUUAUUGUGAGGAUUAAAUUAAAGAAAUGAAACAUUCUUACUGUCUCUGCGGAAGCCAGUAAAUGUUAAUUGUUCCUUUUCCUCUAAAUUAGUUUCACUACAGUGUAUAAGCCUAUAAUUGUGUUCAUCUUUGUCAUAUUUCAUAAUGUUGUCAUGGUUUGAUCAAUUAUAUAAAAGUUAACCAUUGUGAAACAGAUUUCUUUAGGAAAGGUAAACACAUUCCAAAUGCAUUCAUGCUAUAGCAGAAAAUCUAUAGUCAUGUUAUUUAUCCCCACCUAAAUGUAAAUGAACCUAUUUUUGGUGAAUGAAUGAAUAUGGAUGACGUUUGACUUUUCCACACAUAUAAUUACUUCAGCAUCUACAGAUAACACAGAUUAAAUGCAAUUUAUUUGAUUUAUCCAUGUUUUGUUGAAUAGGGAAAAAUUUUCUUUUACCUUUAAUCAAUGUGAAAAGUAAUGAAAUGCAAUUGUUUUUCAUUGCCUGCAAAACAAAAGAAACAAUUUCAUGGAUAAAAAUAAGUAGCUCUCAUGCACUGAGAUUUUAUUAGACUAGGCCAUUUUAUUCUUUUGUGAAAAGGUUACUACCUAUGUUUAAAUUUCACCAUUAGAUAAAUUUCAUGAAUUUCAUGUAGUUCUGUAAAGUAGCUGUUCCAGAGAGUGCAUUUUCCUCCCCUGGACUUUCUAAUGUAUUUUUUGAAAGGCCUGCCUCACAGAAAUUAAACUCAAUUUAUACAUUCAAAAAAUCUGGUGAAUAUAUAAAUAUGCUUUGAACAUGUAUUCUUAGAUCAUUUUUCUCUACUUCAUUGUUUAAAUAGGCAGCACCACCUGGUGGCUAAAUAAAACAACUGAAAUUUUUUACAUCCUGAAUAUGGAAAAAUGUAGAUUCAGCAGAGGAAAAAUAUUUAAUUAUUUUUUACAUUAAAUUUGGGUUGCUCAUCAUAAGUUUCUUCUUUAAAUAACGUCUAGUUUUUAAAAUGCAUACAUCUAAACCAUGAAGUUUUAUCCAUUGCUAAUUAUACUUAUUUUCUAUACUAGCUGUUAAUAUAAUUGAAAAAAUCACUUGUAUAAUUUUAAUAAUGUGAUAUUUAAAGUAAAGUUUAAACAACUUUUGAGAAAAUCAUCCUCAGGAGGCACUUUAAUUCACUCAUUAAAAUUAUCUUCUUGCAGUUUUCUUUGAAAGUAGUCUCAUUUCUAACAAACCACAGUCACAGGAACUUACUAUAAAACUUUACUCAUAAAACACCAACAGAAUUAAUAAGAACUAUUCAGAAAAAGACAUGUAAUUGUUACACUGUAAUUAUAGUUUUAGACCCAAUAUUGAGCUUCAGAAGAGGCAUUUAAUUCAAAAUGUAAUGCUACUGCCCUCUUGUGGUUUAAAAUGCAUAUUUCCCUCUGGAAAUAAAGAUACAGUAUCCAAAUAAAUAAUAAUUUUGAUAUUUAAUGAGAAAACGGAGUAUGAACUACUUUCACAUUUGUCCACAGACAUACAGUAAAUAAUCCAUUAACUACCAUAGAUGAAGAUUAGAAUGUCUAGUAAUUUUAGUAUCAUGAUUAAUAGAAAGUUAGUGAUUAACUUAUUUUACCCUCGUUUGGUGAGUGCAAUUAACCACAAAAAUCCCUUCUCACCUAACUUUUAGCAUCUUUCACCAGUUCCAUAAUAUAGAUUUUGCAAAUUCUAUAGGAAACUAACACCCUCCAAUUAAUACUGGUAUAAUUAAUUUACUUUCCUUAUGUUAGGUGAAGAAUAAACGGCUUCAAACCACUUAAAAACAAACAAAAAAAAAUCCUUCCUCAUUUUGCUUCUGUUUUCACCUGGGAUGAGUUCAGAAGCCUUUUCCAAGGUCCAGAGCAUGCAUUUACCUUGCUGAAACACUUUUUGGCCCCUUGCAAUUGUGGCACUGAAUGGAAAACAAGCUUUAGACACACAUUCCAAAUGCAGCAGCCAAGCUUUUCCUUGUCACGCUGGCUCUGCUGCUAGAAAAGAAUGAUGCCUUUCAGAUUUCUCCAUAUGAACAGAACUAAUUCUCCAAGAGCGUGCUCUGGCUCUGCGUUUACAUCUCUCACCUUGGAUUGGGAGUGUUAUCAUGGAUUAAAGGACAACAAGGAGGAAACAAAGAGGGAUGAUUCUGCCUUUGCUAAAACUCCAGGCACUGUAGGGCAAGAGUUUAUUUUCCAACUGUCUGAAAUUUCCUUUGGCUACUCCCUUCUCUGCGAAAGCUUGUGAUGCACUUCCAUUUAGAAAAUAGGAUUUUGUUAUUAUUGAGAAGAGGGAAAAACUAAAGCGAUCACUUAUAUUCUGCUUUCAUUUAUUUAGCUACAGAGAAAACAAGCAGAGUCAACAGCAAAAGGGGGUGGUUGGUGCAAGGUACCACUCUGGCACCUGGCCUGGCAUUCCUAUGCCUCCCAUGAUCUUGGUAUGCUGCUGUCCCCACCGGGGCCUUUUAACACAGGCCUUCACCCAAGUGGUUUUCUUUGAUGAGGUAGCAUUUCCUUUGUUUUUUAUUUUUUCCUGGGUACAUGUCUAGGAUUUAUCUAGCAUGCCAUUAACAGUCUUGUCUUCAGGAAGAAGCAAGAAAUGACAGCAAGGGACUAAGGGGUCAUGCAACUCAACAUGUCCAAGGUUGUUUUUCAAAGAUCUCCAUGCCAAUUCCUUUAGGUUUAACUUGAAAGCAGUAUCUGCAAGAGGAGAGAGAAGGGCUCACAUUACCUGGCUCAGAGUCUUAUCCGUACUUGGCAUGUCUUGGCCAUCCGCUGAAGAAGCUGUUCUUGGUCCUCUAUACUUUGCUACAUGAAGACACUCAUUUUGCUGCACAGUUGUCUUCUGUUCUGGCCUCCUCUUGACAAUGAGUGAUACAACAUGGUAAAAAUGUAGCAGCAAAAACUGAGCAGCUCACACCUUGAAUACAUUUCGAUUGCACAGCUACUUCCUGACCUGUAUGUAAUUCUGCCACAUGCCUGAGCUCUAGUGAGUCCUACACUUCCCAGAAUUCACUCGGGUCCCUUCUCAGAAGGGGCUCUUACAGACCUCAGGUGAGAUGAAGCAAGACCAGGUACUUUUCUGCCUCUCUUCCCCUGGGAGUCUUCAUUUACAGUGCCAAGAUUGCUCUUUCCUUACAAAGCUAGGUUGUUGCUGAUACUGAUUUUGAAAGUCAAUAAUACAUUGUUUAGGGAUAAGAAAUAGUCGGUGCAUAGGGUAGCAGGAGUUACCUAAGAAGGGAGAGACAAGAUUUCAGUGAAAGGGCUCACAGGGUAUUUCUAAGAUCCUGUUAAAAAUUUGUUUUGUAACUUCUCUGGGGGAACACAGAGUUUUACUUUAUAAUUACUUUUGUUUUUCUUUUUUUCUUUAAGACAGUGUCUUGCCCUGUCACCCAGGCUGGAGUACAGGGCUCACUGCAACCUUGAACUCCUGGGCUCAAGUGAUCCUCCUUCUUCAGCCACCCGAGUAGCUAGGCUCCUCCUUUCUCAGCCUCCCAAGUACCUAGGACUAUGAUAUGGUUUGGCUCUAGGUCCCCACCCAAAUCUCAUCUCAAAUUGUAAUUGUCGUGUGUUGAAGAAGAGGCCUGGUGAGAUAUGAUUCCAUUAUGGGGGAAAAUUUCGUCCUUGCUGUUCUCAUGAUAGAGUGAUAUCUCACAAGAUCUGAUCAUUUAAAUGUGUGUGGCACCUCCUGCUUCUCUCUGUCUGUCCUUCUUUGCCAUGGUAAGAUGUGCUUGCUUCCUUCUCACCUUCUGCCAUGAUUGUAUGUUUCCUAAGGCCUCUCAGCCAUGCUUCCUGUACAGCCUGUGGAACUGUGAGUCAAUUAAACCUCAUUCAUUGAUAAAUUACCCACUUUAUAGCAGUGUGAGAAUGAACUUAUAUAGAAAAUUGGUACUGGGAGAGUGGGGCAUUGCCAUAAAGACACCUGAAAAUAUGGAAGCAGGUUUAGAACUGGGUAACAGGUGGAGUUUGGAACAGUAGGGGGCUCAGAAGAAAAUAGGAAGAUGUGGGAAAGUUUGGAACUUCCUAGCAACUUAUUGAAUGGUUUUGACCAAAAUGCUGAUAGUGAUAUGAACAGUGAAGUCCAGGCUGAAGAGGUCUCAGAUGGAGAUGAGGAACUUAUCGGGAGCCGGAGUAAAUGUCGCUCUUGCUAUGCUUUAGCAAACAGACUGGCAGCAUUGUGCCCCUGACCUAGAGAUCUGUGGAACUUUGAACUUGAGAGAGAUGAUUUGGGGUAUCUGGUAGAAGAGGUUUCUAAUCAGCAAAGCAUUCAAAAAUUGAUCUGGUUGUUUCUAAAGUGUACAGUAAUAUGCAUGAAGAAAGAGAUGGUCUGAAGUUGGAACUUAUAUCUAGAAAAGGAAAACUCAUUUUCUGGGGAGAAAUUAAAGCUGGUUGCAGAAAUUGGCAUCAGUGAUGAGGAGCCAAAUGUUAAUAGCUGAGAAAAUGGGGAAAAAGUCUCCAGGGCAUAUCAGAGAUCUUCACCACAGCCUGUCCCAUCACAGACCUGGAAGCGUAGGAGAAACAAAUGGUUUCAUGGGCCAAGACCAGGACCGUGCCACUUUCUGCAGCCUCGAGACAUUCCCAGCCACUCCAGCUUCAGCCUUGGCUAAAAGCGGCCAAGAUAUAAAUUGGGCCAUUGCUUCAGAGGAUGCAAGUCCCAAGCCUUGGUAGCUUCCACUUGGUGUUGGGCCUGCAGAUGUGCAGAAAUUAAGAGUUGAGGCUUGGAAGCCUCCACCUAGAUAUCAGAGGAUGUAUGGAAAGGCCUGGAUAUCCAUGCAAAAGUCUGCUGCUGGGGCGGAGCCCUCAUGGAGAACCUCUACUAGGGCAGUGUGGAGGGGAUAUGUGGGGUUGGAGCCCCCACACAGCAUCCCUACUGGGGCACUAUGUUCUGAAAAGGCUGCAGACACUCAAUGCCAGCCUAUGAAAACAGCCGUGGUGGCUGUAUCCUGCAGAGCCACAGGAGCAAAGGUGCCCAAAUCCUUGUGAGCUCACCCCUUGCAUCAGCAUGCCCUGGAUGUGAGACAUAGAGUCAAAAGAGAUUAUUUUGGAGCUUUAACAUUUAAUGACUGCCUUGCUGGGUUUUGGACUUGCAUGGGGCCUGUACACCCUUUGUUUUGGCCAAUUUCUCCCUUUUGGAAUGGGAGCAUUUACCCAAUGCUGUACCCCCAUUGUACCUUGGAACUAACUAAAUUGUUUUUUAUUUUACAGGCUUAUAGGUGGAAAGGUCUUGCCUUGUUUCACAUGGGGCUUUGGACUAGAACUUUUGAGUUAAUACUGGAAUGAGUUAAGACUUUUGGAUCUGUUUAGAAGGCAUGAUUAGUUUUGAAAUGUGAGAAGGACAUGAGAUUUGGGAGGGGCUGGGGCAGAAUGAUAUGGUUUGGUUCUGUGUCCCCACCCAAAUCUCAUCUCAAAUUGUAAUCACCAUAUGUCUGAGGAGGGGCCUGGUGAGAGGUGAUUGGAUCAUGGGAGCAGAUUUCCUUCUUGCUAUUCUGGUGAUAGUGAGCUAAUUCUCAGGAGACCUGAUCAUUUAAAAGUGUGUGGAAACUCCCCCUUCUCUCUCUCUCUCUGUCUUGCUUUACCAUGGUAAGACAUGCUUGCUUUCCCUUUGCCUUCCACCAUUAUUGUAAGUUUCCUAAGGCCUCUCAGCCAUGCUUCCUGUACAGCCUGUGGAACUGUGAGUUAAUUAAGCCUCUUUCUUUUAUAAAUUACCCAGUCUCAGGUAAUUCUUUAUAGCAGUAUGACAAAGGACUAAUAAAGACUAUAAGCACACACCACCACACCCUGCUAAUUUUUAAAAAAGAUUUUUAUAGAGACAAGGUCUUGCCACAUUUCCCAGGUUGGUCUGGAACUCUCUCUCUCAGGCUCAAGUGAUCCUCUAGCCUCAGCUUCCCAAAGGGCUGGGAAUACAGGUAUAAACCACCAGGCCUGGUCUAUAAUUUCACUUUAAAGUUACAUAUAAGACUGGGUGUGCUGGCCAUGUCUAUAAUCCCCGCACUUUGGGAGGCCAAGGCAAGUGGAUCCCUUUAACCCAGGAGUUCCAUAGCAGCCUGGGCAACAUGGUUCAAACCCAGAUAUUCUACAAAGCAACUGCCCAGGAUUCUUUCAAAGUGUCAAGGUCGUGGAAAACAAGGAGAAAUUAAGGAAAGAUGAUCAUAGAUUGGAGGAGACUAGGGGCAUGUGAAUACCAAAUGCAAUGUGGGUUGGAACUUGGAACAGUAAAAGGACAUUAGUGAAAUUACUGGUGACAUCUUCCUUUUGCUCCAGUUGCAAGGGGGAGGCAUUGGCUAAAGCAAAUCAUAGUCUCUGUGGGUACACCUGGGAGGCAAUGAAACACAAUAGCUGAAUGCCCCCAUCCCCACAGUGAUAUUACCCUGUGAAACUGAGUAAAUGGUAAGAGCUAUAUCAUAAAUAGCUCUUACUAUUUUGAGAUACAUUCCAUCAAUACCUAGUUUAUUGAGAGUUUUUAGCAUGAAGGAGUGUUGAAUUUUAUUGAAGGCCUUUUUUGCAUCUAUUGACAUAAUCAUGUGGUUUUUGUCAUUGGUUCUGCUUAUGUGAUGGAUUACGUUUAUUGAUUUGCAUAUGUUGAACCAGCCUUGCAUCCCAGGGAUGAAGCCGACUUGAUCACAGUGGAUAAGCUUUUUGAUGUGUUGCUGGAUUCGGUUUGCCAGUGUUUUAUUGAGGAUUUUUGCAUUGAUGUUCAUCAGGCAUAUUGGCCUGAAAUUCUCUUUUUUUGGUUGUGUCUCUACCAGGUUUUGGUAUCAGGAUGAUGCUGGCCUCAUAAAUGAGUUAGGGAGAAGUCCCUCUUUUACUAUUGCUUGGAACAGUUUCAGAAGGAAUGGUACCAGCUCUUCUUUGUACCUCUGGUAGAAUUUGGCUGUCAAUCCAUCUUGUCCUGGGCUUUUUUUGGUUGAUAGGCUAUUAAUUACUGCCUCAAUUUUAGAACUUGUUAUUGGCCUAUUCAGGGAUUAGAAUUCUUCCUGGUUUAGUCUUGGGAGGGUGUAUGUGUCCAGGAAUUUAUCCAUUUCUUCUAGAUUUCCUAGUUUAUUUGUAUAGAGCUGUUUAUAGUAUUCUCUGAUGGUAGUUUGUAUUUCUUUGGGUUCAGUGGUGAUUUCCCCUUCAUUAGUUUUUAUUGUGUCUGUUUGAUUCUUCUCUCUUUUCAUCUUUAUUAGUCUGGCUAGCAGUCUAUCUAUUUUGUUAAUCUUUUUCAAAAAACCAGCUCCUGAAUUCAUUGUUAUUUUGAAGGGUUUUUCAUGUCUCUAUCUCCUUCAGUUUUGCUCUGACCUUAGUUAUUUCUUGUCUUCUGCUAGCUUUUGAAUUUGUUUGCUCUUGCUUCUCUAGUUCCUUUAAUAGUGAUGUUAGGGUGUCGGUUUUAGAUCUUUCCUGCUUUCUCCUGUGGGCGUUUAGUACUAUAAAUUUCCCUCUAAACUAUGCUUUAUAUGUGUCCCAGAGAUUCUGGUACAUUGUGUCUUUGUUCUCUUUGGUUUCAAAAAACUUAAUUAUUUCUGCCUUAAUAUCAUUAUUUACCCAGUAGUCAUUCAGAAGCAAGUUGUUCAGUUUCCAUGUAGGUGUGCGGUUUUGAGUGAGUUUCUUAAUCUUGAGUUCUAAUUUGAUUGCACUGUGGUCUGAGAGACUGUUUGUUAUGAUUUUCAUUCUUUUGCAUUUGCUGAGGAGUGUUUACUUCCAAUUAUGUGGUCAAUUUUAGAAUAAGUGCCAUGUCGUGCUGAAAAGAAUGUAUAUUCUGUUGAUUUGGGGUGGAGAGUUCUGUAGAUGCCUAUUAGGUCCACUUGGUCCAGAGCUGAGUUCAAGUCCUGAAUAUCCUUGUUUUCUGUCUUGUUGAUCUGUCUAAUAUUGACAGUGGGGUUUUAAAGUCUCCCACUAUUAUGUGUGGUAGUCUAAGUCUCUUUGUAGGUCUCUAAGAGCGUGCUUUAUGAAUCUAGGUGCUCCCGUGUUGGGCGCAUGUAUAUUUAGGAUAGUUAGCUCUUCUUUUUGCAUUGAUCCCUUUACCAUUAUGUAAUGCCCUUCUUUGUCUUUUUUUAUCUGUGUUAGUUUUCUGUUUUAUCAGAGACUUUUCUGUUUUAUCAGAGACUAGGAUUGCAAUCCCUGCUUUUUAUUUUUUUCUUUCCAUUUGCAUGGUAAAUCUUCCUCCAUCCCUCUAUUUUGAGCCUAUGUUUGUCUUUGCACAUGAGAUUGGUCUCCUGAAUACAGCACACCAAUGGGUCUAAUUUGCCAGUCUGGUUGGGGUGUUUAGCCCAUUUACAUUUAAGGUUAAUAUUGUUAUGUGUGAAUUUUUUGAUCCUGUCAUUAUGAUGCUAGCUGGUUAUUUUGCCCGUUAGUUGAUGCAGUUUCUUCAUAGUGUCAAUGGUCUUUACAAUUUGGUAUGUUUUUGCAGUGGCUGGUACCAGAUUUUCCUUUCCAUAUUUAGUGCUUCCUUCAGGAGUUCUUGUAAGGCAGGCCUGGUGGUGACAGACUAUCUUAGCAUUAGCUUGUCUGUAAAUGAUUUUAUUUCUCCUUCACUUAUGAAGCUUAGUUUGGCUGGACAUGAAAAUCUGGGUUGAAAAUUUUUUUCUUUAAGAAUGUUGAAUAUUGGCCCCCACUCUCUUCUGGUUUGUAGGGUUUCUCCCGAGAGAUCUGCUGUUAGUCUGAUGGGCUUCGCUUUAUGGGUAACCUGGCCUUUCUCUCUGACUGUUCUUAACAUUUUUUCCUUCAUUUCAACCUUGGUGAAUCUGACAAUUAUGUGUCUUGGGGUAGCUCUUCUCGAGGAGUAAAUUUGUUGUGUUCUCAGUAUUUCCUGAAUUUGAAUGUUGGCCAGUCUUGCUAGGUUGGGGAAGUUCUCCUGGAUAAUAUCCUGAAGAGUGAUUUCCAACUUGGUUCCAUUCUCCCCAUCACUUUCAGGUAUGCCAAUCAAACAUAGGUUUGGUCUUUUCACAUAGUCCCAUGUUUCUUGGAGGCUUUGUUCAUUCCUUUUUAUUCUUUUUUCUCUAAUCUUGUCUUCAUGCUUUAUUUCAUUAAGUUGAUCUUUAAACUCUGAUAUCCUUUCUUUCACUUGAUCAAUUCGGCUUCACGAAUACUUGUGUAUGCUUCACGAAAUAUUCAUGAAUACUUGUGUAUGCCACACUUGAUACUUGUGUAUGCUUCACGAAGUUCUCACGUGUUUUUCAGCUCCAUCAGGUCAUUUAUAUUCUUCUCUAAACUGGUUAUUCUAGUUAGCAAUUUCUCUAACCUUUUUUUCAAGGUUCUUAGCUUCCUUGCAUUGGGUUAGAACAUGCUCUUUUAGCUUGGAGGUGUUUGUUAUUACCCACCUUCUGAGGCCUACUUCUGUCAAUUCGUCAAGCUCAUUCUCAGUUCAGUUUUGUUCCCUUGCUGGUGAGGAGUUGUGAUCCUUUGGAGGAGAAGAGGCAUUCUGCAUUUUGGAAUUUUCAGCCUUUUUGCACUGGUUUUUCCUCAUCUUCGUGGAUUUAUCUACCUUUUGUCUUUGAUGUUAGUCACCUUCGGAUGGGGUUUUUGUGUGGACGUCCUUUUUGUUGGUAUUGAUGCUAUUCCUUUCUGUUUGUUAGUUUUCCUUCUAACAGUCAGGCCCCUCUGCUGCAGGUCUGCUGGAGUUUGCUGGAUGUCCACUCCAGACACUGUUUGCCUGGGUAUCACCAGCAGAGGCUGCAAAAUAGCAAAGAUUGCUGCCUGUUCCUUCCUCUGGAAACUUCAUCCCAGAGGGGCAUCCGCCAGAUGCCAGCCGGAGCUCUCCUGCAUGAGGUGUCUGUCGACCCCUGCUGGGAAGUAUCUCCCAGUCAGGAGACACGGGGGUCAGGGAACCACUUGAGGAGGCAGUCUGUCCCUUAGCAGAGCUUGAGCACUGUGCUGGGAGAUCUGCUGCUCUCUUAAGAACUGACAGGCAGGAAUGUUUAAGUCAGCUGAAGCUGUGCCCACAGCCGCCCCUUCCCCCAGGUGCUCUGUCCCAGGGAGAUGGGAGUUUUAUCUAUAAGCCCCUGACUGGGGUUCCUGCCUUUCUUUCAGAGAUGCCCUUCUCAGAGAGGAGGAAUGUAGAAAGGCUGUCUGGCUACAGUGGCUUUGAUAAGCUGCCGUGGACUCUGCCCAGUUUGAACUUCUCAGUGGCUUUGUUUACACUGUGAGGGGAAAAUCGCCUACUCAAGCCUCAGCAAUGGUGGAUUCCCCUCCCCCCACCAAAUGAAUGUCCCAGGUCGACUUCAGACCGCUGUGAUGGCAGUGAGAAUUUCAAGCCAGUGGAUCUUAGCUUGCUGGGCUCCCUGGGGUUGCUAUCCAUUGAGGUAGACAAUUUGGCUCCCUGGCUUCUGCCCCCUUUCCAGGGGAGUGAAUGGUUCUGUCUUGCUGGCAUUCCAGGUGCCACUGGGGUAUGAAAAAAAACUCCUGCAGCUAGCUUGGUGUCUGCCCAAACAGCCACCCAGUUUUGUGCUUGAAACGCGGGGCCCUGGUGGUGUAGGCACCCAAAUGAAUCUCCUGUUCUUUGGUUUGUGAAGACCAUGGGAAAAGCAUAGUGUCUAGGCUGGGAUGCUCUGUUCCUCAUGGCACAGUCCCUCACGGCUUCUCUUGGCUAGGGGAGGGAGUUCAUUGACCCCUUGCACUUCCUGGGUGAGGCGAUGCCUCACCCUGCUUUGGCUUGCUCUCCAUGGGCUGCACCCACUGUCUAGCCAGUCCCAGUGAGAUGAACCGGGUACCUCUGUUGGAAAUGCAGAAAUCACCUGCAUUCUGCGUUGAUCUUACUGGGAGCUGCAUACCGGAGCUGUUCCUAUUCGGCCAUCUUGCCAGCCACCCAUCUAGUUUUGUUUUUUCUCUUUUUUAAAUUUUUUUAGAUGUAGUCUUGCUCUGUUGCCAAGGCUGGAGUUCAGUGGCGUGAUUUUGGCUUACUGCAACCUCUGCCUCCCAGGUUCAAGCAAUUCUCCUGCCUCAGCCUCCUGAGUAGCUGGGAUUACAGGCAUCUGCCACCACGCCUGGCUAAUUUUUGUGUUUUUAUUAGAGAUGGGGUUUCAUCAUGUUGGCCAGUCUGGUCUUGAACUCCUGAUCUCAGGUGAUUCACUUGCCUCAACCCCCCAAAGUGCUGGAAUUACAGGUGUGAGCCAUCACGCCUGGCUGUUUUUCAUUUUGUAAAAGAUGGUUAAAAAUUCAUGACGGGGCUCCUGAAAUAAGGCAUCAAGCAGUAAGCUCUAAGCAUAGAUGUUUGAGAAACAGCAGCAGUCAGGCGUGCAUUCAUGAUGGGGGAAGCACCUCUGAGCAAAGGUACGGGUGGUCAGGACUCCACGGGGCAGAGAGAUAGGAAGCAGCAGGCUCUUUGGUCACAUAUUUUCAGGUAAUGCAUCUGAGAACUCCCAUGCAUUAAUACAGAAACUUGGCUUAGAGGGACGAGGGCCAAGAAUGAGCAUAAAGAUUCUUUAUGCUUCCUAAAAUAAGACCCUGAAAAUAGCACAAUACACUAAAAGCCUAUUAAUAUAAUUUUUCAUAUGUAUGUUACAAUUAAUUCUAUUUACUACCUCUUACUAGCUUUUAAAGGUUUUUUAUUGUUGUUAGAGAUAAGAUGCAUAAGAAAAAAGACACUUUUUAAUAUUUAGGGCUGGUCCUCUAGACACAAUCCUGAUGCCAUUCUGGUCUUACACCUGGGAAUGGGGCUGCAAAAUGGAAAUCUCCCAGAGAAGGAAAGAGAGUUUGCAAUGAGCUAUCCUGGGAAGGAGCCCUCCAGCAGGGCUUGUUUCCUGCCAGGAGCAAGUUCAUAUCAGCUGAAAGAGGCUAGAGAUGAACUGUCAGAUGUGGCCACUGAGGGUAGUAGCCAUAAAUAGUUAUAUCCACGCAUGCCAAAAGAAACGAGAUCCCCAGCAAGGGGAAUUUUUUUUUUUUUUUUUGGCAGAAAAGUAAUUGAGAAAAAGGAAAUGGCAUUUGGAUGUCAUCUGCCACAGCCCGGUGUUAUUAAGGCGAUACUACAACCAUACCUCUCAAGUAAAUACUUUUCAGAGUCUUACGUUUUCUCCUUUCCUCUUCUAACUCUGGAGAAACCAAAGGCUUCAUACUGGAUUGGGAAAGAAGGGACAAGAGGUUUUAAAUUACAUGAAAUUGAAGUUUUCAUAUUGGAUCAGAGUUUUUUAAAUAUUGAAAUAAUUUUAGACUUACAGAAAAGUUAUGAAAAUAGUACAAUUUCCAUGUAACUUUCACCCAGGUUGCCCUCAUGUUAACAUCUUAUGUAACUGCUGUACAACUACAAAAAUUAAGAAAUUACAUUUGUAAAAUACUAUUGCCCAGACUAAAGAAUGCAACUGGAUGUCACCAGUAAUUUCACUAAUGUCCUUUUACUGUUCCAAGUUCCAACCCACAUUGCAUUUGGUAUUCACAUGCCCCUAGUCUCCUCCAAUCUAUGAUCAUCUUUCCUUAAUUUCUCCUUGUUUUUCACGACCUUGACACUUUGAAAGAGUCCUGGGCAGUUACUUUGUAGAAUAUCUCAGUUUCAGUUUGCUGAAGUUUUCUCAAGAUUGGAUUGGGGGCUUGUAUUUUGGCAAGAAUACAAGAGAACUGAUGUACUUUUCUCAUUGCAGAAUAUCAAGAGGUUUAUAACCCUGAUGUCUUAUUACUGGUGAUGUUAACAAUAAAAACUUGGUUAAAGUGAUGCCUUCAGGGCUAAUUCAUUAUAAGGUUACUACUUUUCCCUUGUAAUUAAUAAAUAGCUUGAGGGAGACCCCUUGAGGCCAUGCAAAUAUCCUUUUUUUUUCUUCAAACUUUUAUCCGCUAAUGUUGGCAUCCUGCCUUCACCAAUUAUUACUAUAAUGUAGUACUGAUGAUUUUCCACUUCCCACAUUUCUUCUACAUUUAUUAAUUGGUGUUCUUUUGUAAUGAAGAGAUGUCCCUUCUACAUUUAUUUAUUCAAUUAUUUAUAUCAGUAAGAACUCAUGAAUAUUUAUUAAAUUCUACAAGUUGUAAUCCAAUACUAUCAAAAAUUGUUUUAGCUUUUGACCAUUGGAAACGCUUUCAGGUGCGCUUCUCUUUUGCAACAUUUAAAUGUCGCCAUUUUUGGGGGUUCUUUGCAUUUAUUUUACUCUUUGUACCACAAGAUGUUUCAAGUUAAUCUUGUUUUUUUCCUGCCCCAAAAUAGAAAUUGGCCACUUCAAGGAGCAUGUUUUUCUGUUCAGAAUCCAAUCCAGUAUCCGACAUCUCAUUGAAUCUUCAUGUCUAAAACUAGUUUGGUUCCCUUAUUUUUCUAGAAUGAUAUAUAAUAACCGAAAUCUGGGUGCUAGAUGUGUUUAUUGCUACUGGAGUGAAUGGUGACUCCAGGUAUUCUCAGUGACAGAGCUUGGAAAUACAUGUAAUAUGUGUGUAAAUAGCAACCCAUUCAUACACACAUACAAAUACCUGUUUUCUUAUCUGUACAUAUACACACAAACACUACACACUCAUGCAUGCAUGAAUGGAUAUAUGAUGAUUGUAAGUUCAUAUUGAUACUUCUGAUUACAAUCAAAUAUCUCUUGGUUCAUUCUAGCCUACUCUUUCCUGGGUCUUAUUUGUAAAUCUUAAAGUUGAAAAACCUGGCUCUUGUUAUACACAAUUUACAUAUUUAUGAGAUCUAGUAUAAAAAUAAAGUAGUUUCAAAAUUAGUACAUCAUAUCCCUGUGAGAUACAAGUGUCCUAACAAGGUAUGUCUUUAUAUUUGAGUAUGUUGUUUUCUGUCUUUAGCCUGAUGGUAUCCAGUUAAAAUACUCUUUUCCAAAAUAAUUUAGGCUAAUUAUUUUCUCCCUAUUCCAUUUAGUAUGGUUGUUAUUCAUUUUUAAUACAUUAGAUUCAGUUAUUACAAGUCAUAUUCAUCGUGGUUUCCCCCACAUAUUGUUGUUGAUUUUUAAAAAAUUUGCACAUAUUAAAAUUUACUUUUUGUGAUGGAUAGUUCUAUGGGAUUUGAUAUAUGCAAUGAAUUGUAUAUUUAUCACAGAAGUCAUGUAGUUAACAAACCUUUUCACACCAAACUCCUGUCAACCAUUGAUCUAUUUUUCCUCCCAAUAGCUUUGCCUUCUCUAGAAUGACAUACAAGCAAUGCCAUACAAUGUGCAGUCUUUUGACUAUAACUUCUUAAAUUUUGCAAAAUGCAUUUUAUUAUUUUAUCCAUUUUUUAACUGCUAAAUAGUAUUUUGCAUUACAUUAUGUGGAUGUGACACAGUUUGUUUAUGCAUUAACCAACUGAAUAAUAUUCAAGUUCUUUCAAAAUUUUGGCAAAUAUGAAUAAAUCUACUAUAAUCAUUUGUAUACGGAUUUUUGUAUAAGGUUUUAUUUCACUUGCUUAAAUACCUACAAGGGGAAUUGCUGACGUGGUAAGUAUAUUUGUAACUUCAUAGAAAAAACAAUCUAUAAAAAAUAGUAAAUAAAAUAAAAUAAAAUAAUAAAAAAUAAAAAAAUAGUAUUCUACACUAUUGUACCAUUUUGCACUCUGACCAAUAUAGGCAAGUUCCAGUUGCUCUGCAUCCUCACCAGCACUUAAAAUUUAAUUUUUUAAGCCAUUGCAAAAGAUUUGCAAAGGGUAUCUCAUUAUGGUUUUAAAUUAUUUUCCCGUAAAAGUGACUAAUAUUUCCCCAGUGAUGUUGAGUAUCUUUUCACAUACCUCUUUGGAUUUCUAUAGCUUCUUUGAUGAUGUAUCUGUUCUCAUCAUCCAUCUUUUUCAGUUGAGUUUUUUCCUUUUUUAAAUUUUUGUAUUAUUCUUAACUAUUAGGUUGGUGCAAAAGUAAUUGCGUUUUUUGCCAUGACAUUUAAUGGCUAAAACUUCAAUUACCAAUAACACAUAAUAAUUGACGUGUUUGUACAAUUUCAUUUUAAUGAACACGUAAUAAUUAUACAUAUGCAGGAGCGUGAAAUGUUUGAAUAUAUAUAUGGUGUAAUAAUCAAAUCAGGGUACUUAGCAUUUCCAUCCUCUUAAACAUUCAUCGUUUUGAAUGUGAGAACAUUCAAUAUCCUCUAUUCUCGCUAUUUUUAAAUAUGCCAUACAACAUCAUUAACUAUAAUCAGUCUUCUCCAUAAUAGCACACCAGAACUUUUUCCUUGUAUCAAACUGGGACCUUGUACCCAUUAACCAAUCUUUUCUCAACCCCUUCUUCCUCCCUUCCCCAGCCUCUGGUAACCACUCUCCUACUCUAUUUCUAUGAGAUCACCCUUUUUAGAUUCAGCACAUGAGUGAUAUCAUGUGGUAUUUGUCUUUCUGUGCCUGGCUCACUUCAGGUAACAUAAUGUUCUCCAGGUUCAGUCAUGUUGCCACAAAUGCCAAAAUUUCAUUCUUUGUAUGGUUGAAUAGUAUUCCAAUGUGUAUAGAUAACCAACUUUUCUUUAUCCAUUUAUUAGUUGAUGGACUCUUGGUUUGAUUCCAUAGCUUGGCUAUUGUGGACAGUGCUGCAGUAAACAUGAGGGUGCAGAUAUCUCUUCAACAAUCCAAUUUUAUUUCUUUUGGAUUGGAUAUAUACCCACUAGUGGUAUUGCUGGAUCACAUGGUAGUUCUAUUUGUAAUGUUAUGAGGAACCCCCAUACUGUUUUUCGUAGUAGCUGUACUGAUUUUCAUUCCCACCAACAGCAUAUGAGUUUCCCUCCCUCUUUCUUCAUAUCUUCACCAAUAUUUAUCUUUUGUUGUUUUGAUAAUCAACAUUCUAAAUGGGGUGAGGUAAUAUAUAAUUAUGGUUUUGAUUUACAUCUUUCUAAUGAUUAAUGAUGUUAACUGCCUCUUUUUAUUUAUUUAUUCAUUUAUUUUGAGACAGGGUCUCACUCUGUAGCCCAGGCUGGAGUGCAGUGGUGUGAUCAUGGCUCACCGCAUCCUCGACUUCCCAGGCUCAAGCCAUCGUCCCACUUUAGCCUCCAAGAAGCUGGGACUAAUGGUGGAUGCCACCACACCUGGCUACUUUUUGUAUUUUUUGAAGACAGGAUUUUGUCAUGUUGCCCAGGCUGGUGUUGAACUCCUGGGCUCAAGAGAUCCACCCACUUUGGCUUCCCAAUGUUAACCAUCUUUUUAUGUAUCUAUCGGCCGUUUGUAUGGCUUAUUUUGAGAGAUGUCUAUUUAGAUCUUUUGCUCAUUUUAAAAAUCAGAUUGUUUGCCUUUUCCUUGAGUUAUUCGAGUUCCUUACAUAUUCUGCAUAUUAAUCCUUGUGCUAUUAAUCAGAUGUGUAGUUUGCAAAUAUUUUCUUCCAUUCUGUGGGUUUUUGUCUUUACUUUAUUGAUUGUUUUCUUCACUAUGCAGAAGCUUUUUAGUUUAAUGAAAUCCCAUCUAUCUUUUUUUGCUUUUGAGUUCUUGUCUAAAAACUCUUGUCCAGACAAUAUCAUGGAGCAUUUUCCCUAUACUUUCGUCUAGCAGUUUUAUAGUUUCUGGUUUUACAUUUAAGUCUUUAAUCCAUUUUGACUUGAUAUUUGUAUAUGGUGAGAAAUAGGGGUGUAGUCUCAUUCUUCUAUACGUGGAUAUCCAGUUUUCCGAACACCUUUAGUUGAAAGGACUGUCUUUUCCCCAAUGUGCGUUCUUAGUGCUUUUGCCAAAAAUCAGUCAGCUGUAAGUAUGAGGGUUUAUUUCUAAGUUCUUUAUGUGUUUAUUUUUAUGCCAAUAUUGUGCUGUUUUACUUACUAUAGCUUUGUAGUAUAUUUUGAAGUGAGGUAGUAUGAUACUUCAACAUUUUUUCUUUUCCUUCAAGAUCAUUUUGGCUAUUAAGGGUAUUUUGUGGCUCCAUACAAAUUUUAGGACUUUUUAAUGUUUUAAUGAAGUAUGUCAUUAGUAUAUUAUUUGUUUACUUAUUGCUACAUUUCAAUAAUUUUUUUUGGAGUGGGGACAGGGUCUCCAUUUGUCACCUGGACUGGAGUGCCAUGGUGUGAUUAUGGCUCACUGCAGCCUUGACUUCCUGGGCUCUAGCAACCCUCCAGCCUCAGCUUCCUGAGUGGCUGGGACAACAGACAUGUGCCACCACACCCAGCUAAUUUUUUGUGUGUAUUUUUUGUAGAGACCAGGUUUCGCUAUGUUGCCCUGGCUAGUCUCAAAUUUGUGGGCUCAAACAAUCCUCCUGCCUGGGCCUCCCAAAAGUGCUGAGAUGACAGGCAUGAGCCACCAUGUUGGCCUAAGAAUUCUUGAUAUGUUUUCUGGUUAAAAGUUCUCCGCAAAAAUGUGAUUUGCAAAUACUUUCUUCCAAUAUAUAGCUUGUCUUUCCAUUCUCUUAAAAGGGUCUCUUGUAUAAUAAAUAUUUUAACUUAUACUAAAGUCCGAUUUAUCUUUUUUUUCCUCUCAUACAUCAUGCUUCAGGUGUUAUAUUUAAAACUCUUUGCCUAGUCAAAGUCAUAAGUAUUUUAUCCUCUAAUUUUUAACAGAAGGUUUCUGGUGUUAGGUUUUAUAUUUAGAUCUUUAAUUCAUUUUAAGUAUAUUUUUAUAUAUUAAUGUCAUGCAAGGUAUGGAUCCAAGUUUUCUGUUUUUUGUUUUUCUACAUAUGGAUGUCCAAUUGUUCAGUAGUAUUUAUUGAAAAGACUACACUUUCUCUAUUGAUUACCCAUGCACUGUUAUAAAAAAUCAGUUGAAUAUCCUUAUGGGGGUAUUUUUCUAGGCCUAUUCUGUUUCAUUGAUCGGUGUCUAUAUUUUCACCAAUACCAAGCUGUCUUGAUUACAGUAGCUUUAUAGUAAUGCUCAAAGUUAUUGAUCACCAGGGAAAUGCAAAUAAAGACCAUAAUGAGGUACCAUUCAUUCACCAUAAUGGCUAAGACUGAAAAAACUGAAUGCCACAUGCAAGAAAGUGUGUAGAGCAGUCAGAACUCUCACACGUUAUUGUUGGUUUCAUAAAAGGUGCUGUCACAUUGGAAAACAAUCUGGCAGUUUCUUCUCAGACUAAUCACAUACAUUUUCUAUCCCAGUAAUUCCAGUUCUAGGUAUUUAGUCAAUGGAAAUGAAAGUAUACAUCUACAAAAAUCUUGCAAAAGACUGUUUAUUGCCACUUUUUCCCAUAAUAAGCCCACACUGAACACAGCUUGAGGUUUCUCAAUAGAUAGUCAAAUGGGAGAAUUAACUCUAAUAUUUCAUUUCUUAAAAGGAUAUAUACUUACAUUAAAUGUCUAAUUAAAGUAGAUAUAUAAAAUUUGAUUUAGAAAUAUAUAAUUAAGUCAUGUUAAUUUGUUAAAAAUACAAAAAAUUUAAAAAGACAAAAUUAAAAAUUACUGAUCAUCUUUGUCUAAUAUUGCAUUGAAUGGCCCAGUGAUCAAGUAUGUGAGCUGCAGAGUCAUAUUGGGUUUGAAUUCUGGUCUUUCCACCUACUGGUUUUGUGAUUUCAGACACAUUUUGUUUCACUUCUCCAAGUCUCAGGUUUCCACAUCUAAAGUGAAGUUAGUCCUACCUGCCCAGUAGAGUUGCUGUGCAGAUUCGAUGAACAACCAUGUGGAGUGCUGAGUACACUGCCUAGAGCACAGUAAAUUUGUUUGGCAUCAAUAUACAUAGUUGAAUCAUAGGAUAUUAAUCUUAUACGAGUCUUUUAAGGUUGUAUGUUGCUUGCAAGUUUGCUUAGAUGAUGAUCUCAUUUUUAGAAAGCUAAUUCUACAAUGUAAAAUAAUGUAAUCAAUUUAUACUCUCUUUGAGGUAAUUUUUGUUUAAUAAAUUCACCUGGGACAAUUUUCACCACAAAAAGGAAUUUCAUAGGUGAGCUGAAUUCAUUUCGUAAAAUCCUUUUACUUUUCAAACUGUUAAACAAAAAUAUCCUGUGUCUCUGGAGUUUUGUAGGAAUCAGUAGUGGGAUAGUUGUCCUGCAUCCAUUAAUGCUCUUCCACCUUGGCCUGAGCGAUAGACGAAGGACAACCUACCCUAGAGGAGUCAAGCACAGAAUCAAGCACAUUCCUCAUGGUGCUCCCCAUUGUGGUUGCCUCCCCUAAAGGUACUAUUUUAUGCUUUUGGUAAAAGAAGCCAGCUCUUUCAAGGGAGGAAAAAAGAUUUGGCAAAACUCAAAAGAUCUCAAAAAACUAUACUUGGGAGUUGUGUCACCAUAAGGUCCCAAAGCCCAGCAGUGGGGCUGCAUUUGGGAAGAGGGUGGCUGGUGCUUCCAGUCUAUGCAAUCACUUACCCUCCUCUAAGUAAAUCCACAAAGUUUUACAGCAUUGUUAUCACUUUGGGAAUUCUGUAUGAAACCCUUGUAGGAUAAUUUUAUGGAUUACUGGAAAAUGUAACAAUGGGCAAACAUUACUUUCACAAUCAGAAAAUAAAGCAAAUGUAUCUUUAUCAUGGGAAAAAAACAAUUUUUCUUUAAAAGCCAUUUGGAGGCUGAUCCAUUGUUUUAUUUCAGUAUUUUGAAAUUUAUUUUUCAUGGUCUCCCUUUUCCCUGUUAAUUAUUAAAUUGUCUAUUGGAAUAUUAACCCUUCUAAGCUUCAUCUAUAAUGUCUUCAUCUAUAAUAUCUAUAAAAUGAGGAAAAUAAGGUCACUUUAAGGUCAACAAAAAGUACUUCAAGAGUUCUCAGAAAAGGGCAACAGUAGCCAUUUCCCACUGCGUAUCUAGUGAGUCUACUAUGUUCAUACUUAGACAUAGAAGUGACAUUUUAUAUCUGACAGGAGAAAUAAGAUGAGAUCAUUUUUAUAGUCUACCUAGAAUGAUGAAACAAUAUUUGACAUCUUUUAUUUUACUGAUAAAUAUAUUAUUCAUGGAAAGAACUUAAAAAAUGUAGGCCAAAUGCUUACAUAUUUUAUUUUCUGCUUCCAAAGAUAUUUUAUUUCUUUUUCUUGAGGAAACAAUCUUUAGGAAUUUUUCUUUGAUGUUACCUGGUACAGUGUUGCAUUUCCUGGGAAAGCAUUGGGGUAGUAAAACCUGGGGUAUCUAGAAGGUUUGCCUGGAAUAAGCAGCACUGAUACACACAGAAUACGGACACUUUGUUGGUGGUGACUGCUAGCUCUGUUCUGUUUGUUUGUGUUGAUAUUGACCAGGUUAGUAACCAUUUCAAUCACUUUAUUCCUUGUAGAGUUUGGAACUAGAGGGGCUUCCACCUUGGCAUGGUAUGCUAGUGAUCCUCUCUUGCUAUUUUGCUCCAGUAGCCUGUUAAAGGGAAUUGCUGCGAGGUCUGUGCGCUUGGCUUCCUCCCAUGGCUCUUUUUCUGUGAUUAGAUUCUGUACCAUUUCCCAUUGUUCAUGGAAGCCUGUGUGAAAGAAAGGAAUCCCAGGUCACCUAGUCAAACUGUGCAAAGUAAAGCAAGGGCCACUCUUUGUUUUGGUGUUCAGUUUUCUCAGUUUUUGCAAAUGAGUAGUGCUAUCUCAUGGUGGCUUUAAUUUGUGUUUACCUGGUGACUAGGGAACAUUGUUUUGUUUUCAUAGUCCUAAUCCACCAGUGCAUAUCCAUGAAUUCAUGUUGAUAAGAAGAACAACAUAUUACUUUUUGACUCUUUCCUCUAUUUGUUUAUGUCACAGGAUAUUUGGGGAUGUCACUUCAUCAGCUAGAAAUCUCUGUGGCCAGUGACGCCUUUGCCUGAGUUUUUACUUGGGCCUGCCGGGCUCGUUCUGCCCACUCAGCCUGGCAGGCUGUGCUCUGCUCGUGGUACCAGCCCGAAUCUCACGCCUGCCAAGGACGAGCCAGGCACGGAGCAUUGAGGGGUGUGUGAGCGAACAAAUGUGGGGUCCGGCCACUGCGCACAGCCAGGCACACCAGCUGUGGCAGGGUGGGCAGCUCCAGCCGCUGAUAUGGGCUCUGGCUCCCUGUGAGGCUGCGGCUGGACCACUUGUACCGCAAGCAGCUUCCAUGGCUGGCACUCCAUGGAGCAUGCAACCCCGGCCGCACCUCCCACUGCAGCCAGCAUCAUGGCAGCAGCUGCUCCAGACGGGCUGCGGCUGCCAUCAUUUAUGCCAUACUUCAAAGCCCUGAAAAGCUCCUUUUGCCCAAGUUUUAGCAUGCAUAUCCAUUAGAGAAUUGUCUACAUCACUUUAGAUCAGCUCCCUUGCAGAGACGGUACCACUGCUGCAGCCUCCAGCGGACAUUGUUGCCUCUGUGCAACUGCCAUGCAUCUUGAGCUCUGCUCUUGUUCCGGCUGGGUAUUGCUGCAUCUUCUUGGAAGCACAGAUCCUUUUUCUGGAUACUGUUUCACCAGAUGGACGCCAGCUCUGUCACCUUCUAAUAACAAUUACUGAAGUCUCCGAUUGGGCACGUCACUGAUGCACUGAGCCCUCGAGGUGCAAAACUGAAAGACUGCCUGAAAACAAGGGAGGGGAAAGCCACUUUCCCCUUUUCUCUUACAGUUUUUGAUGGGAGUCCCAAGGCAGAGUUGUAUGUGCAUGUGUUGUACAUUGCCUUCAAGUUUACUAGCAUUUUAAUUCUGUUCUUGCUUCCUGUUCACUUAGAGUUCCAUCCCCUUUACAAAGAGAUCUUUUGCUACCCUAUCCCAUGAAUUUUCUGGACAUCCUCUGGCAUGUGUUAAGAAUAGUUAGGUCCAGAUUAUGCCAUCUGCUCCAAAAAUAUACUUUCAAAUUGGUAGCGAUUACCUGAGAUAUACUUUAUUAUAUGCAAAUGAGUCUGCUUUUAUAAAAAGAUUCAUUCUUAAGGUGUAGUGGAGAUGGGAAGGUCAAGGGAUAGAAGGUUGCAGAGUGAGAAAAGAAAUCAGAAAUAAGCAGCUGUUUUCCUCUGACACCCACACAAUGAUGAAUGUGUAUCAUGAUGUCUCCUUUGCUUCUUCAGUGACUCACCCCUGCCUGGUAUGGGAUUCAGAAAGGCCCACAAGAGCUAGCUGCCUGGCUUACACAGUAAGUUAGGUAUAUACUUUAUAACUCUGAUUAUUUCUCCUGCAGUAGCUCAAGGGCUCAGAGAUCAGAGUAAACCUUCUUCAGUUGAUACCAGCUCUACACUGGUUCAACCCAGCUAAGUUGCUUUUAAAUUUCGUAUUUCUCACAUUGUCACAGAACUGCAAAUCCUCCACAGGGGCCAGGUGUGGGUGAGCUGACCUAAGCUAUACCUUGAGCGAUUCACCGAAGCAGUCCGCUGAGGUCACCCUUAACCUUGGUUUCCCGCACAAUCAUUCAGAGCGCUCCCAGAGAGCUAAAGAAAAGCUAUAGUUAGAUUUUUUCAUUUAAAAUUUGGCACUGCCUGAAGUCAUUCCCAUUCCUUCCAAGGACUGUUGCCAUUAUAUUAAAAAGAGUAAAUUUGCUGCUGCAUUACUUACUGCCCAGAAAAUCCAGCUGAAACCUGCUACUGCCAAAUCUGCAGUUUCAGUGCAAGGCCAGAGAGUUUAAAUAGCUCCUGCUAGUGAGGAUUUUCUGCUCUCUAGAAAAAAAAAAGUUGAUAAAGCCUCAGUUUGAAGGAUUGGACAUGGACUAUUAGAAACAGAAAAUGGUUGUCCCAUCUCUCUCAAUUUCUGACUGUCCUAUUUGCAUAAUUCUUAAACGUAAAAUCUCCUAAGAGAUGUGGUGCUCCGUGUCUUUGAUCAGUCAGGGAAUUUAACUUUACUUACAUUUUACGAUAGUCCCUCAAGUUCUUCUUUACAGGCCCAUUCUCCACACCUAAAUGUUUAUGUUUCUAGGAUCCUAAGUAUACAAAGCUAUUUAAAAAUUAACACGAAAGACAGAGGAAAGAGCAGUAAAAGAAUGAAAGUUUUUUUCUCAGAAGGUCUCCACAUAGGGUCAUGAUCUCCUUCUGGGAUUUAAUUAAAUUUUAUUUUCUUAUUUCAUAGCCCUGCAAACAAAAAAGCAGGAAGAUAUGGACGUGCUUUUUUUUUGUUUUGUUUUCAUUCUUUUAGCUCCAAAUUACCUUGGACAUAAACUUUUCCAGAAGAUGGCUAUGUAAUGUGAGGAGUUGCAGGGAAAAUAAAAAAUUAAUAAGAAAAACCUUAUUUUCAUACAAGUGCAAUUUUUUGGAAAGAAGUUUAAAAUUUUGUAGUUAGUAGGAUAUUACCAUCUUCUUAAAAUAUAUUCAGAGAAUCAAAUACGACAACUGAUUGUCUAGUCUGAUCACAAAUUAGGAGCUACAUUUGGAGCUAUGGAAAUCACAUCUUAAUUCUCUACUAUUUUGGUUGGAUGAUCCCAAACACCUAAGAAUUAUGGACUCCCACAUCCUGACAUAGGCUAUCACAUUUAUAAGGAACUCUGUUAAAAUGUUCAGGGCAACUCCAUCCUUCCUGAUGUUCCUUCUACCCAGAAGUUUUAUUUAAUUUCUGGAGGCCAUACAGAACACAUUUAACCCUUUUCCACAAGAGAUUACUUAAAGACUAUGUUCAUUCCUUCCUGAGAAUAUUGUGGCAUCUUAGAUAAAUAUUGUAUAGCUCAAUGAGUCAUAUGCCAUAGCUUGCGUAUUUCUUUUUUAGGUGUGCUUUGCCUGGUCUGUUUUUUUUAGGACUGUCAUUGGCCUCCUGGAGACUCUUUAGCAGGGAAGCAGACAGCUAGCAUGCCUGGAAAUUUAUUCCCCAAGGCCAGGAACUUUGAGCCAAGAGUACUAAUGGGGAAGUUUGAAAACCUGAUUCCCUUGCCUCUGUUCUGGACAACUUUGAGGUGUAUCUUCCAUUUGAGAGGUUUCCUGUAGAAUCAGGUUGACACAGAAUUAUGCCCUGCUUGGCUUUUUCUCCUCCCCUGCCCUGCUUCAGGGCAAUCUUUCUCCAACUACUUCCUUAAAAAACCACUUUUAUAUAAGUCCUCAUUUCUGAGUCUGUUUCUUGGUACUUAAGACAAUGUAUCUUCCUCUUAGUGUUUUGCAGUCAAAGCAAACAUUAUUUCAUGAAUGGUCUUAUCAGUAUACAGUAAAAUAGAAACAACUUCUAGUUUAUUCUAGGCACUGUAUUCCUACUGGCAUAGCCUAUGUUUGAAUUCUACGUUUAGUCAACCAUACCAUACCAUGGAUUGCUAUUACUGCCAAUCAAACCCCUAACAGGAUUUUCUGCAUGGGCUAUUAAAAAAGUAGAACCCCUUCAGUAGGCCUGAAGUUAUAAAGAAUAUAGUACUUAUAUUUUGUUUUUGCUUUCGUAACUCUUAACAAUUAUUGAGUUUACUAAUAUGGAAAUAUGCAAUUAUAUUAGUCAUAGUCAGACUUCCAGUUCUGAACAUAUUGUAGAUUUAAUAAGUCAAAAACUCUUCCACAACACAUAGAUUUGCUAGACAAAAUGCUGCAAACAAAAUCUUUUUUUUGCUUUUUAGUAUUUUAUUUUUCAAGAGGUAAUAUAUUUGCAUGGUAUAACCAUAAGAUGCAAAAAAGUAUUUAUGAUGAACUCUUUCCCCAAUCUCGGUGUGCAGUGGCUCUGCUUUCUUACACAGAAAUCAUAAAAAUCACCAGCUCAUCAUGUAAGUUGCUGAAGCUAUGAGAUAUAUAUCAUAUAUGAUAUUUAAGUAUAAUAAAUAUUUUUAUGUAUAAUAUAUAAAAGAAAUAUAUAUUUCAUAUAUAUUUAUAUAUGAUAUAUAUCAUAUAUCACAUAU